rnacentral:lncRNA from 1 species
AUGGGCAUGGGCAUGGGAAACCUGGUCAUGGGGGACCUGGCCAUCCACCUGGUCAUGGUGGUGCUGGUGAGGAUGUGGAAGAGGGGACGCAGAAUUAGUGUAAUCAAUCCUUAAUUAUGUGGGCUACGCAUGAUUAGGGUGUGUUUUAUGUAAGUUUAUGAAAGCGUGUGUAUCAAUAAGGCAUGUGGGCUUAGGGUUACUCUCUAAGACCAGCAUGGCUGUGUUGUAGCUUCUAUGCUUAAUAUAAUGCUUUUUCAUGUGCUGUGCUAAAAUGGAGUAUGAUGAAUGCCGUCGGGUGAUCUACCCUUUUUUUUUUUCUUGGGAUUAUAUUAUUUACUUCGGAGUAAUUUUGUUGAGAUAUGAUUUUGUGUAAAUAUACUUACCAUCAUUGGUUUCAAAUUAUAUUAGUUUAUACCCUCACCAACAUACCCACCUCAAAUCUUUACCUAAAAUUGAUCUAAAAACCUAAAAUUUAUCUAAAAAGUAAAUUGUGAACAUGCGAAAUUUAAAACCAGCAACAACUUAGGCUAUGUUUGGUUUUCGAAAAAUUUGAGGAAAAUGUAAAGGAAAGAAAAUAGAGAGGAAAAGUAAAAGGAAAGAAAAGGAAAAUAAAAAAUAGAGUUAAAGAUAAUAAAUCAUUUUUAUUUGUUACUUUAAAUUUAUAUUAUUUAUUUUAAUUUAUCAAUAUAAAAAUUAAAUAAUUUUAAAAUAUAUAAGUUUUUAAUUAAUUUUAAUUAUAUUUAAUUUUCUUUGUAAUAUUUUAUAGGAUAAUUAAAUAUGAGAAAAUCAUUUUUUAUCAUUUUUUUUUUCUUUUGUACUUUUCGGGAACCAAACAUAACUUUAGUGUAUUUACACUCAACCUUAAAAGUAUAAAUGAGAUUAAUUUUUAUUUGGAAUUAUUGGAAUUUGGAUUUGAAAAGAAAGAAAUUUUUUUUUUGAAUUGAGAAAAAAAUGAAGGUAAAAAGUAUAAUAACCAAUUAUAUAGUUAUAAAAAGAAUUUGCAUGGUAAAGCCUUUUAUUGAGAGGUCUUAGUUUUCUUUGAGAUAUUUUAAGUUGAAGAUUAUUGCAGUCAAUCCUAUUUUGUGGGUUAUUUAUAUAAAUUCAUUGAAAUUGUAGCUCGGGAGUAAAUGAAAUACAAAUAGGAUAUGCAUUCUCAGUCCUCUAUUUAAGAAACCAAAUGUAGUAUAAAAAAAAAUACUUAUGCAAUUUAAUAUAACAAUAAUACUUCCUAUCCAACACUUAGUCCAAGAGUUACUUAUAUUCCCAUUUUUAUAAGUAUACCAAAUAUAAUUAUUGUUGGUGCACAAUGAAUGAUUACUCGAUUUGGGUAGUUUUUUCCACUGGAUUGGAUGAUUUUGUAAAAAACGAGUCGUUGGAUGGUUGUUUUGGGCAUCCUUCUUCAAUGGUUAAGUUAGUUUGAGAAUUUUUAAGGCAAAUAUUUUGUAUGGGUUUAGAGUGUAUAUCUUUAUUUAUUUUUAACGUUCGAUGUUCUUUUAUAAUAGAGGCAUCUUAUAAUGGUGUUUAUAUUUUAUGAUUAUUAUUUAUUGUAGUUUUAGUGCAUGUUAGAGCAUAACGAUUUAGUCAUUGGAAAUGAUUGAUUAUUUAUAUUAUGAAAUAAUUACCUUUGAAAUGACACAUAAUGAUUGUAUUUAUAUUUUUACCAUUGGAAAAAUAAUUAUUGACUCUAAUUUGGUUCUAUGUUAGUCGGGCGAUACAAGUUGUAUCUAAAUCAUUAAAUGAUGAGAUUUUGAUUAUUGAAUGUGAAUAGAAAUGGAGGUGAUAAAAAUUUAAAGGCAUAAAUAAAUGGAAUUAAUGUAUAUAAAAAAAAAAGAUUUGAAAAUGGUUUAAGUGUUGGCAUGCGAGGGUGUCCUUUGUUAUCUAAGAUCGAUUUGAAGAGAAUUGAGAGGUCGGUGGACAUGAGGACAGAUAUGAGAAUGACGUGAGAUGGGACGUAAUCAUUCAAGAGAUAUCAUGUGAGUAGAAAUUAGAAUGUAGUGAACUUUGCCCAUGCAUAUGGAGUUGAAUUUUAAGCUCAAAUCCAACACCUGUCACCCAUGUGGCACUCUCAAUUGACAUAAUAGUGUUGUGUUUUGGACUUGGUGACGUGUGGAGGGACGUACGUAUACAUGAAUGGGCUGUUUCAGGGACUUUUCUCAAUAGUAUAGUAAUUUAAAAAAGUUAUGCUUAAAUUAUUAUAGUAGAAGAAGUUAUUACAAAUAUAUGGUAGUUUUUGCCACAUAGGAGAAAGGAGAGAGGAGAUAGGAGAGAGGGUGAACGGAUAAUUUUUUUUAAAAAAGGGAACUCGUCUCUUGAAGAGACGAGUUCCAUGAAAAAAAAAUAUAUAUUUUUUAAAAAAAAUUCCUAUUUACUCAAGGGAACUCGUCUCUUGACGAGUUCCAUGAAAAAAGACAAGGGAAAGACGAGUUCCUAGGGAAAAAAAAAUAUUUUUUUUAAAAUAUAUUUUUUAUUUAAAAAAAAUCCUAAAUUAAAUUAUAAAAAAAAUUUCCUAAAGGGAACUCGUCUCUUCAAGAGACAAGUUCCCAUGUAAAAAAAUUUUUUUUUUUUUUAAAAUAUAUAUAUUUAAAAAAAAAAAAUUUCCUUUUUUUUUAAUUUGGGAUUUUUUUAAAAUAAAAAAUAUAUUUAAAAAAAAAAUAUUUUUUUCCCAUGGGAACUCGUCUCUUCAAGAGACGAGUUCCCUUUAGCAAUUUUGAGAAAUUGUUUUUUUUUUUUUAAUAUAUAUAUAUUUAAAAAAAAUAUUUUUUUUACAUGGGAACUCGUCUCUUGAAGAGACGAGUUCCCUUUGGAAUUGUUUUUUUUUUUUUUUUUUAUUUGGGAUUUUUUUUUAAAAAAAAUAUUUUUUUUACAUGGGAACUCGUCUCUUGAAGAGACGAGUUCCCUUUGGAAUUGUUUUUUUUUUUUUUUUUUUUAUUUGGGAUUUUUUUUUUUUAAAAAAUAUUUUUUUCCUAUGGGAACUCGUCUCUUGAAGAGACGAGUUCCCUUUAGGANNNNNNNNNNNNNNNNNNNNNNNNNNNNNNNNNNNNNNNNNNNNNNNNNNNNNNNNNNNNNNNNNNNNNNNNNNNNNNNNNNNNNNNNNNNUUUUAUUUAUUUAAAAAUAUAUAUUUUUUUUUACAAGGGAACUUGUCUCUUCAAGAGACGAGUUCCCUUUAGCAAUUUUGAGAAAUUGUUUUUUUUUUUUUUUUAAUAUAUAUAUAUUUAAAAAAAAAUAUUUUUUUUACAUGAAGAGACGAGUUCCCUUUGGAAUUGUUUUUUUUUUUUUAUUUUUUUAUUUUUUUAUUUGGGAUUUUUUUUAAAUAAAAAAUAUAUUUUAAAAAAAAAUAUUUUUUUUCCCAUGGGAACUCGUCUCUUGAGUUUCCUUUAGGAAUUUUUUUUUUUUAAAAUAUAUAUAUAUUUUUAAAAAAAAUAUUAUUUUUACAUGGGAACUCCCUUUAGGAAUUUUGAGGAAUUGUUUUUUUUUUUUUUUAAUAUAUAUAUUUUAAAAAAAAAAUAUUUUUUUUUACAUGGGAACUCGUCUCUUGAAGAGACGAGUUCCCUUUGGAAUUGUUUUUAUUUUUUUAUUUUUUUUAUUUUUAUUUUUAUUUUUAAUUUGGGAUUUUUUUAAAUAAAAAAUAUAUUUAAAAAAAAAAAAUUUCCCAAGGGAACUCAGGAAAUUUUUAUUUUUUUUAAAUAUAUAUAUUUUUAAAAAAAAUAUUUUUUUUUUACAUGGGAACUCAUCUCUUCAAGAGACGAGUUCCUUUGAGGAAUUGUUUUUUUUUUUUUUUUUUAAUAUAUACAUUUAAAAAAAAAAAUAUUUUUUUUUUACAUGGGAACUCGUCUCUUCAAGAGACGAGUUCCCUUUGGAAUUGUUUUUUUUUUUUUUUUUAAUUUUUUAAUUUGGGAUUUUUUAAAUAAAAAAUAUAUUUUAAAGAAGAGACGAGUUCCUUUAGGAUUUUUUUUAAAUAAAAAAUAUAUUUAAAAAUUUUUUUUUUUCCCAUGGGAACUCGUCUCUUGAGUUCCCUUAGGAAAUUUUUUUUUUUAAAUAUAUAUAUUUAAAAAAAAAAAAUAUUUUUAAAAAAAAAAAAUUUUUUUUUACAUGGGAACUCGUCUCUUCAAGAGACGAGUUCCCUUUAGGAAUUUUGAGGAAUUGUUUUUUUUUUUUUUAAUAUAUAUAUUUUAAUUAGGAAUUUUUUUUUUAAAUAUAUAUAUUUUUUUAAAAAAAAUAUUUUUUUUUACAUGGGAACUCGUCUCUUGAAGAGACGAGUUCCCUUUGGAAUUGUUUUUUUUUUAUUUUUUUUUUAUUUUUUAUUUUUUUAUUUGGGAUUUUUUUAAAUAAAAAAUAUAUUUAAAAAAAAAAAUAUUUUUUUUCCCAAAGGGAACUCGUCUCUUCAAGAGACGAGUUCCCUUUGGAAUUGUUUUUUUUUUUUUUUUAUUUUUUAUUUUUUAUUUUUUAUUUGGGAUUUUUUUAAAUAAAAAAUAUAUUUAAAAAAAAAAAUAUUUUUUUCCCAAAGGGAACUCGUCUCUUCAAGAGACGAGUUCCCUUUGGAAUUGUUUUUUUUUUUUUUUUUUUUUAAAUUUGGGAUUUUUUUAAAUAAAAAAUAUAUUUUAAAAAAAAAAUAUUUUUUUUCCCAUGGGAACUCGUCUGAAGUAGGAAUUUUUUUUUAAAUAUAUAUAUUUUAAAAAAAAAUAUUUUUUUUUACAUGGGAACUCGUCUUUUUUUUUUUUUUUUUUUUUAAUUUAGGAUUUUUUUUAAAUAAAAAAUAUAUUUUAAAAAAAAUAUAUUUUUUUUCCCAUGGGAACUCAUCUCUUGAAGAGACGAGUUCCCUUUAGGAAUUUUUUUUUUAUGGGAUUAUUUUUAAAUAAAAAAUAUAUUUAAAAAAAAUAUAUAUUUUUUUUUCCCAGGGGAACUCGUCUCUUCAAGAGACGAGUUCCCUUUAGUUCCAAAUUGUUUUUUUUUUUUUUUUUAAUUUGGGAAUUUUUUAAAAAUAAAAAUAUUUUUUUAAAUGGAAACCCGCCCCUUGGAGAAAAGAGUUUCCUUGAAAAAUGGUUUUUUUUUUUUUUUUUAAUUUGAAAAUUUUUUAACAAUAAAUUAUAUAAUUUUUUCCAGGGAACCCCCCUCCUGAAAAGACAAGCUCCCCAAAGAAAAGGGGAAUUUUCUUAAAAAANNNNNNNNNNNNNNNNNNNNNNNNNNNNNNNNNNNNNNNNNNNNNNNNNNNNNNNNNNNNNNNNNNNNNNNNNNNNNNNNNNNNNNNNNNNNNNNNNNNNUUUUUUUCCCAUGGGGAACUCAUCUCUUGAAGAGACGAGUUCCCUUUAGGAAUUUUUUUUUUAUGGGAUUAUUUUUAAAUAAAAAAUAUAUUUAAAAAAAAUAUAUAUUUUUUUUCCCAUGGGAACUCGUCUCUUCAAGAGACGAGUUCCCUUUAGUUCCAAAUUGUUUUUUUUUUUUUUUUUAAUUUGUGAAUUUUUUAAAAAUAUAUAUAUUUUUUUUAAUGGGAACUCGUCUCUUGAAGAGACGAGUUUCCUUGAAGAAUUGUCUUUUUUUUUUUUUUUAAUUUGAGAAUUUUUUUACAAAUAUAUAUAUAUAUUUUUUCAUGGAACUCGUCUCCUGAAGAGACGAGUUCCCUUAAGUAAAUGGGAAAUUUUCUUAAAAAAAUAUAUAUAUUUUUUUUCAUGGAACUCGUCUCUUCAAGAGACGAGUUCCCUUUUUAAAAAAAAUUUAUCGAUUCACCCUUUCUCCUAUCUCCUCUCUCCUCUCUCUCACCUUCUCUCCUAUCUCCUUUCUCCUCUCUCCUAUGUGGCAAAAACUACCAUAUAUUUGUAAUAACUUCUUCUACUACAAUAAUUUAAGCAUAACUUUUUUAAAUUACUAUAUUAUUGAGAAAAGUCCCUGUUUCCAGUUUCCAACUAUGUCAUUAAAGGAAGGUUCAUGAUUUUUUUGGAACUUUAAAAUGAUAUGACAAACACAGCGUAGCAUUUUUCUUAAAAGGAAAUCCAUAUAAAACAAUUUAUAUUUCUAAUUACCAAAUUCUUCGUACCAAUAUUUAGAGUGUUUGAUAAUAAUUAUAAAAAAUAUUUAUACUUUUUUUAACACCAAAAUUUUUUUAUCUUUCACAUAUAAAAAAGUUAAAAAUACUUUCUAAAACUUUAAUACAUUCAUUUUCAUUUGAAGUGGGUAAUCGAGGCAAUGUUUGUCUUUUUCUUUUUGAAUUGUUGCUAUCUUUGAGUUAAUCCUUUGGAGCCUCAUUCUACAGUAUGAAGAGAAGAACAAGUAAAAGUGGUCCUCCAUCAGUAAGUUAUUAACAAUUACCCAAUGGCAAGGUGGGAAAUUUGAUAGGAUAAAAAAAAAAAUCCUUAAAUGGACAUUUCAUUCAUUUGAAUAACAUGGAAAUGAAAUCCCAUGAGUGAAAUUUUAAUUCUUCCUAAUUAGGGGUAUUUUAAUUCCAUAGUAUAACUUAUUUUUAAAAUUACUUUUCAAAAAUUAAAAAAUUAAAGACCUUUUUAGAUAAGUUAUUUUUAAAAUUAAUUUUUAUUUUGAUUUUGUAAAACAUACAAAUUUUAGAUUCAAUUUAUAUAAUAUAAAUUAAGGGUGCUUUUGACAAUGACUCUAGGAAGCCUUUUUUUUUUAAUCCUAAAAUGUGUUUUUGAAAAAAAAAUAAUUAGGUGUUUGACAAAUUUUAGGAAACACUUUUAAAAAUUUGAAGAGUGUGUUUGACAUUGAUUUUAUAAAAUAAUUUUUUUUUUUACAUUUUUAAUACUUGAAAAAUAAAAUUUUUAUAGUGUUAGAAAAAUUAAAAGUGCCUCUUAGAAUCACUACCAAAUGGGGUCGAAAAAUUACUUAUAAUGUUUUUUUAGACAAACACUUGAUAGAUGAUUAUCCUAAAAACACUUUUAAAGAAAAUACUUUCACUAAAAACAUUUCUGAGUAGUAACAUUAAUUGAUUUAUUUUGUUAAAAAUAAAUAAUAAUAAUUUCCAAUACUAUUUAUAUGAUUUUAUAAAUAUUAUAAAAAUAUGGAUAUUAACAUAUUAUAAAAGCAUAAUUAAUUUAUUUUGUUAAAAAUAAAGAAUAAUUAUUCAAAAUUAAUAAUUGCUAAUACUAUUCUAUUUUAAAUAAAUAUAAAAACAAACAAAAUUUAAAAUUUUAAGUUAUAAAUGAGCUAAAAUUUUCAAUAUGUAUGCAUUUAUUACUUAAUUAUGAAGAUGACAUUGUGAAUUAUUUUAUUUGAUCUAUAAUUAAUUAAUUAAUUAUUUAAAUUUUGAAUUAUUCUUAAAAAAUUAUAUAUAUGUUUUAAAUUCUUUAAUAAAUCUUAUCAUUUUUAAAAGCAAAGUAAAAUAAAGAAUUGUUCAAUACAAAGUCUUGUUUAAUUUGAAAUUCAUUGUUAGGAAAGAAAAAAAAAUUCAGAAGAACAGUUCUCUAUUUUACUUUGCUUUUAAAAAUUGUGUUUAAAGAACAACAACCAUAUAGUGAUAUAAAUUUUUAAAAACAAUUUUGUUUUUAAAUCACACGACCAAAUAGGAUUUUAUUACCGGGACCCCAGAUCUUUCUGUUCUCAUACCUUGGAUCGUAUAGGUGCAUGUAAACUACUCUAUGCCUUUAGAUCUUAUGUAAUGGAAGCAAAAAAUAAAAUUUUAAUAUUCUAAGAUAUAAAGAAAAGUCAUUAGAAAACUUUACCUUUAAUUUAAACGUUUUCAAAUCAAUUUCGCUCAAUGAAGUUGAAGCUUGAACAGUUCGAAGGUCUCGUACACCCAAGAUUUUCCUCUCAAUGACUCGAAUUACGAUCUUAACACUCCAAAGUGUAGGCUUUGGGAGGGAGGAAUCCUAGGCUCUUUAUCUUUAGAGGUAGAAGACGACUAUCUUUCAAAGUGAUGAAAACCCUAACUCCUAGGGGGUAUUUAUAGAGUUUCCUUAUUAGGCUUAAGUGACUUGAGCCUACCAAGGCUUAAGUGACUUGAGCCUACCAAAGCUUAAGUCAUUUAAUUUAGUCUAAAAUGGGUCCUAAUUAAUUAAUUAACUAUAUAUGUCUAUUUAAUUAAUUAAUUCGCACAUUUUAAAGAACUUGUUUGCUAUUCCCUAUGCAACCUUGCAUAAUUAUCAAAAUGCUCUUAUGCACAAAAGUGAAUUGAGAGUCAAUCCAAACCUCAUAAACCGUACCACCAUGAUAUAUGAGCUCAGAGUGGGGAUUAUUGGGACCAAUAGGAGUAUUGAUUUCCUCAAAAUCCAAAUAUGAAGUUGAUUCAAUAUUCCAUUAAAGAGAAUCAACCGCACUUUUAGUACCUUAUAUAAAUAUUAACGAGACAAAACUCAGGCUUGUGACUUACUAUCCACUGUAUGUAAACUUCUCAUGAACUGAUGUUUGUAAUUUAAUAAGGUAGUAUUAUUAUCUAUCAAGAUUGCCUCUAUAAUCCUUGAGUUAUAGAUCUCAUUUAUCAUGUAAUCAAUUGACAUACUCUAACUCUAAGAAGUAUAUGUAAUGCCCUAAACCCAAGAGUAAAAUCAUAAUUUAAAAUAAUAAAUAAUUUAAUAAGGGUAAAAAUGUCUUUUCUUAUUUAAAAUUCCUACGUAUAAAUUAAAUAUUUUUUAUAUUCUCUACUCAAAAAAUCCUUUUACAUGUAGAUAGAAAAUAUCAAAGAGCGUAGGGUUUGAAUAUCAAUUUUUCAGGUAAGAUUUUAAUUCUUAAAUUAAUAUUUUAUAUUUGUUAAUUAGUUUUAAACACUUUAGAUAUCUUUUUGGAAGAUCUCAAUCUAGAUUAUGGUUUGUUAAAUUAAUUUUUAGAUCAAAAGACUGAAAAUUUAUGAAUGUGGAUUAAUUUAUGAUGAAAAUAUGAAAAUUUAGAAAAUUUUAAUUGAAUAGAAAAAAAUGAAUAAAAAAUCAAUGGAAGAAAAAAAAUUUUAAAAUUUUAAAAUAAAUAAAUAAAUUGUUUGUGGAGGCUUUAGAUUGGAAAAAAAGAAAAGAAAAGAAAAUGUGUAGAUAUAUUUACCAUGUGAAAAAAAUAAUAAAAUAAAUAAAUAAAUAUAAUGGGAGGCGUGUAGGUGGUUUUGUAGAAUGUUGUGGGAUUAAAAAAAUAAAAUAAAAUGAAAUUGGAGGACACCUGUGUUGCCAAAGUGUUGAGUUCACUAUAAGAAAAAAGGGUAAUAAUGACGCUUUUUAGGCGUCAAUAAAUGUAUACGAUGACGCUUCUCGAAAGCGUCCUUUUCGCCUCUGUCAAGGAAUGGGUGCAGGCAACCAUGUCGCUUCUAGACAGCGUCAUUGUUGAUUGGUUUAUAUUAACACGUUAAAAAACGUCAUUAUUGAUCUACCUAUGUUAACACUUACACUAGCGCCAAGGAAUGGCCAAAAUAUCAUUUGUCUAUUUCGACGCUAAAAAAAGUGUCAUCUUAUGUGGAUAAUAAUAUUGAAAAUCCCCUUGUUGAAAUGAUAUAUUUUGUAUGUCCUGUUAUAUAUAAUUUUGGCUGCAUGAUUAUUUAUAAAGUAUUAAACAAUAACUUCAAUAUUAAUAACUACAUCUUCCAAAAGAAAUUGAAUAAAUUUGGGAAUAAUAUAAUGAUAAAGAACUAAUGUCUACAUAGUUAAUUAAUACGCAAAUUUGUAAAUGUAUCAAAAUAUUUACAAGCAUAUUUUCCAACUUCAACAUAUAUAAAACAAGUACACAUGUACCAAAAAGCAAGGUCUCCAAAUUCCUUAUCAAAAAUAAUAUUACAAGAAGAAGAAGAAGAAGCCAAAAGUAUUUAUAGCCAAAAGUAUUUUUGUUUGGUAGCAUAUCCACUCCUGAACUUGAAAUCUUUUACCUGUAUACAUUUAAAAAAAAAAUAAUAGAAGAAACAAAUUAUGUUUAGUUAAUAUACAUGCAAUGAAAGUUAAAUCUAAAUCUAUAAAUGGUCCAUGAAAGAAGUGCAAAUGAGAAUAACUUGGUAUUUAAUGAGAUGUUAUGCUUCAAUGAAGAUGAAAAAUUGUUUAAUUUGAUACUUGUUUAUAAAAUAUUAAAAUACUUUUUUAGUUCAUUAUUAAGUUAGAGGAAACAAGUUAGGCUUUCAAUGGUAUAAAUUCUACAAUAUGGAAUGUAAUAUAAUAUUUUCUUAUCUAUGUCUAACAUAUCAAACUCAUUUCUCAGAAAUAAAUAUAUGAAUAUACCAAUAGGUAUGGUUUAUAAUUAGUUUCAAUCAUAAAUCAUCAUAUCUAGUAAUAUAAGACAUUUAAUAUUAACCAUUUGCAAAUGCCUUAAUUUCUUCUUACAACUUUCCUAUAUUACCAAAUUUAGUUAACUAAUAACAUUCCAUAAGGAAAAAAAGAGUAUUAAACUAAAAAUUAAAAGAGCAUAACCAAGGCAAUAGAAACCUACAAAUCAUUGGUUAAAUGUCAUAAUAACAACCAUUCUAAAACUUGCCUUUAUUUUCAAUUCCAAAAUUAUAACCCAAAUAUAAUAAUUAACCCUACACAAAAAAAAGCUCUCUACCAUCCCUCCAUCCAACAACAACCUGUUGAUGCAACAACAAUAACUUCUCCAUACAACAAUAACAAUUUCUCCAUGUAACAACAACAACAACAACAAUAACAAUAACAAUAACAAUAACAUUGAUGAUCAAUGGUGAUAAUUAUAUUAGUAAUAAUUUGAUUUGUUUAGUCCAAACAUAUAACAAUAACAACUUCUCUAUGCAACAACAACAAUAAUAAUGACAACAUUGAUGAUCAUGAUAUAAUAAUUUGAUUUAUUGAGUUCACAAAUUAUAUGCUUCUUCUCCAUACAACAAUAACAAAAAUAACUUCUCCAUGUAACAACAUUGGUGAUGAUGUAAUAAUUUGAUUUGUUAUAUUGAAAUAGUUUAUGUAUAAAACUAUUAUAUUCUAUCACUAUGGAGGAAAAAAUUACUUAUCAUGAGAUGAGAACUUAUGAGAAUCGUCAAAAUGUGAUCUACAACUCUUACUGGACUGAAAUGAGGGCAUCUGCAUACAUAAGAUGGUAAAUUAAAAAAAUUAGUCCAUUCAAGACUUCAUUAAUAAUGAAAAUCAAGCAUUUUAGAUGUUAAUUUAUACCUUCAGGCAUGGGUAAGAAUCAAUUGAGUUGCCAACAUAACCCACUCAGAUCGUACUUCAUUAAGCUCAACUUCACUAUACGAUUUUUUCCCUUUAAACUAAUAAUUAAUUGUACAUACAUGAUGAUUAGUUAAGUUAACAAAAAAUUACUAAAGUAUAGAAACUAAUAAAAUUUAUUAAUGAGUAUAUACAUUUGUGGAUAGGAGGCUUGGAUCAACAAUUAUAUCUUUCAUGUAUCUCAUCACAUAAUAACCACACUCCACACUUCCUAGUUGUCCUGGGCACUAUAGGCACACAUAUGAAUUAUNNNNNNNNNNNNNNNNNNNNNNNNNNNNNNNNNNNNNNNNNNNNNNNNNNNNNNNNNNNNNNNNNNNNNNNNNNNNNNNNNNNNNNNNNNNNNNNNNNNNUAUCUUACUCUAACCAAAUUAACUUACCACUACUUUUACCCAUGUCGGCUCCCUCUUUGAUGAUCUUUGUUUCUCUGGUGGAUGAAUUCGUAGUGCCCUACAUGGAAAAGAAAAUUAACAUUUUAGAUACUAUGCACUAUAUUCAAGUAUGGAAAUGAAGACACUUACAUGUUAACAAUUUCCUUAAGAUCAUCACAUGGUUGCUUUUGCAUCGGAUCAAGGUAGUACGCAGUCAUUGUCCUCAUAUCCAAUGCCACCAAGACCCAGUGGAAACUAUAAUAGUACAUUAGAUAUUAUUUAGUAAUUAGCAUUGAUUAAGCUAUUUAACAUUAAAAAAAAACUUAAUAUUUUUCAUAACUUACUCAGGGUUAUAUGGAAUAAAAAUGUAGUCAGCACGCUUUGCAUGCAUUAAACGAUUUGCAAUCAACCUUGACCUAUUUUCCUUUGUUGUCUCACCCAUUCCAGCUUUAGAGACUAAAGCUGGAUUGAUAAAAGCAAAUCGUUCGGUGAGCCUUGCAUUACUUAGCUUUUUCUGUAGGUGCCUGUUUAAAUUCCACAUACCUUGAUAAGAAAUGACCAUUUUACUUUUAUAUAUAUAUAAAUUAACACACAUUAGCAAGUUAUAAAAUUAUUUACCAUAUAUAAUAUAUGACACAAUUAGCCGACACUUUCUUAAAUGAAAUUAUCAUAUCCAUGUCUUCUUUCAUAAGGAAGGUCUUAAAACUCUCGCCAAAUACAUCAUUUGGGACCUCCACACCUUGUGCUUUCCCCUCAUUUAGCAUGAGACCUACUAAUGCAUCAAAAUUGUUGAUAUCUUGAGGGUUUUCACCAAUUUUCAAGUCAUUUUCUGUUGUUUUUUGUCUUUUCCCUUUGUGAGAUCCCUAUAAAAGAAAGCACCAUGUUUUCAAAUGAUAUACAUAUCUUUAUAAACUAUUUCAAAUGAAAAUAACACACCUUAAUGAAUUUAGUACUCAAAUUGACUAAAUGGGUUGGCCAUAAAACUUGGUAGCCCACUACCGCUCCAAUUGUUGUAGCUUGUCCAGGAAUGGGAAUAGGAAGUGGUGUAUUUGACUUAUAGGGAGCAUCCAAAACAACUAGGUAGUUGGGCCCACAAUCCAUUACAAUUAUUCCACCAGCCACUGUAUUUUCUCUGGUCCCUACUGCUAACUCACAUUUUCUUGCCUUCAAAAGUAAAUUAAAUUGUUAAUUUCAAUAUAAAAAAGAAUCAAUAAAUGAAGUUUAAAGUGCAUUGACUAUGUUAGGGCUAUAUUUAAGACAUAAAGUUACAUAUUUUAUAAGUAAUAGUUGUAGUGGAAUAGAAUAUUACUAGUAGUAAUUAUGCUGUAAUAGAAUCUACCUAAAAUGUAAGUAUCAAUCUAACAAAAAUAAAAGCAAUUGGAAGAAAUUAUUUAUGAAAAUUAUCUAGGAAUUUGUGACAAUUACGUCAUUGAACUAGGAAAUGUAAACUAAAAAUAACACACCUUCAUGUGUGGUUCUAUUUUCACAGGUAAGGUCUCCUCUUCAACUUUACGAAUUGGUUUCUCCACUACUUCUGGUAGAAGCAACAGUUUUGAUUUCAUGUUGGAACUACUCACAUCGGAUUGUGGUGUAGCAACUCCUAUCUGAGAUAGUCUCGCUAACACAUCAGCCUCAAACUUAACUUGACGUUCUUGAGUUGCUUUUAAAAUAUCCCUCACAACACGUUCUGACAUACUAUUGAAAUAUCAUCCAGGCGUGUAGUGCUUCCCUUUAGCUCGAACCCAACCAGUAUACUCAGGAGUACCUAGUGCUUGAGAAAGUAUGUCAUUGCUCCCACUAUAGCUUAUGCCACUCUCUUGAGACUCUUUUAUCAAUUCAUCCUAAAACAAAAGGAAGUUAUGAAGUUAACUUUCAAAUAAGUAAAACCAAAUAAGGUGUUUAAAGAUGUGAUUUUUGGGUACAAAAUGUCUACUUACUAUUUUUUCCAUUACCGGUAGGACCACAUCAUCAUAGUUGCCAUCUUUUUUUUGCAUUGCCCUCUUCCAAAGUAAACUUCUAUCAAUGCUUUCUAUGGAGCCAGCUUCAAUCAUCUAAUAGAAAUGGAAAAUUAAAGAUAGUUAUUAGAUGACACAUGUGGUUUUAUUUCUAUUUUUUUGUCAGAAAAGAAACAAUUAAGAAACCCAUAUAAAAUAUUCCUUCAUUACUUAUACAAUCAUAUAAAAUUAAACCACAAUAAGAACUAACAAAAACUUACCAUCUCUUCUUCAAGUCCAGCAUACCCUUUUCUACUUAGAUGAUGAUUAUAUAUAUGCUUCUUUCUUCUCUGUUUUUGUACUUCCCUAUAUUCCUAAAAAUUAAAAUGGAUGCUUAGUAUAUAUAUGUGGAUGCAUGUAGUAUGUUUAAUGUUAAUUGUAUUUGUACCUGGAAUUUUUCAGACAACCUAGUUUUCACAAAAAUAUUCCAAUCUUCAUCAUCGAUAAAAUGAUAUUCAGCUGGUGGUUUCUUAAGAAGCUCUGGCUGAUCUUUGAAAGGAAGAAUAUGUUUCACAGUCAACGUGUUCUUAAAAGAUCGAAAACAUUUUCCCAAUGUAAGCAUACAAUUCCUUCUACUUUUCUUGUCUAAUGUAAAAGCAAUCUACAAAUUAUAAAGUCAUUAGUUUCUCAAAAUUUGAAAGAAAUAUAGAGAUUGUAGAAAACUUAUUUAUGUUAAAAAAAAAAGUAACCUCAAUAGAGUCCCACAACUUAUCCUUCAAUUGUUCAGGGACAUCUCGCCAUGUGUUAUAUCUGAUUGGUACCAUCGUACGUGCCAAUACACCUAAGUAGCUUGUUAGGUGCACAGAAGAUUCUCCUACAUAGAUACCAUCAACAUUGUACUUUAUGACCAACUUUAUCCCUCUAUUCCUAUUCCUUAUAAUCAUGGAUUUCCUUGUUGUCCCUCUAUAUUUUUUUUGUGAAGGGGUUUUCUCUUCCUUUGAAUCCAUGCCUAUAACACAUCAAUGAGAAAUGAUAAGUAUACCCAUUAAUUGCAAGUAAAAUUGAAUUUUUUAUAACAUGAACUCAUAUUAGUAACAUGAACAUACUAGGAACAUUUUACAUGCUAGAUAACAAUAUUCACAUGUUGUCAUGAAAUAUUUAAAAAUAAUAAUAAUAAAAACUUACUAGAAGAUCCUCACCAAACUUUUUUCUUAUGGAACUAGAAAUCAUAAGCUUUGAGCUGAGACAAAUUGAUAUCCUUGUAUUACCCUUUAGAUCACUCUGAGAUAUGUGUAUAAUAAUAAUCAUGAAAUAGGGAAUCAAUAAAUUUAGAGACAUGAUGAAUUUAAUCCACUUAGAAAAUAAAUAAGCUAUUUACUGAAAUGCAGAAUUUCAAUAUUAACAAGUUAAUGGGAUAGUUACAACCUUCAUAACAAAACAACAAGGUCAUAAAUUUAGUUACAUAGAAGAUUUGUUAUCAAUCCAGAAUCCCUCACAGUCUCCUCGAAUGCAAAUGACAUCAGAGUCAUCCAUUGUAUCAAAUGAUUCAACUUGUGCCAAGGUGGUAAUGAGAGGAUGGUGUUCAAUAGAAUUAUCCAUGAAGUCAUCAGAAUCCUUUGCUGAAAAUGAGAAGUCCCUUUCAGGAGUUGACAAAACAACUGACCAUCUUGGAUCAAGUUGGUUUUGUACAUAGAAUACUUGCUUGGCUUGGGAGGCUAAAAUAAAUGGAUCUGAUUUAUGAGCCAUCUUAGUGAAGUCAACUAAUGUCAGCCCAAACUCAUCAACUUUGAUGCCGCUCUUAUUAUCAACCCAAUUACAUUUGAAAACUGGAAUCCUAAACAUGGUAUAAUCAAGAUCCCAUAUCUCAGUAAUAAUACCAUAGAAACAUAGCUCACUAAAUACUGGAUUCUUAUCCUUGGCACUAGAAAUUUGCAUUGUUGUUGCUACAAUGCUAACUCCACUAUUCUGGGUAACUCGUAACUCAUCACGGUCUUUUGUGUUGUACUGACACCCAUUUAUAACAUAGCCAUGAUACUUGGCCACGUAGUGGGUAGGACCAUGUGCCAUCCAUCUUAAGGUUUCAGAUAUAGGUUCUUUGUCAGCAAUGACAACUUCUACCUGUUUGAAUGGACCAUAGUUAUUAAUAUUUUUUAUGAUAAGUGCUAAGAAUGGUGCAAUUUUUAGAAUAAAUUCAAUACCUUUUUUCGCAACCAAUGAGUGAAUGUUCGCAUGUGUUCUUCUUGUAGCCACUUUUGUCUCUUAGAUUGACGAGGAUUGUUCAAUUUCAACCAUUUCAUGUGUUCUCUAUAAGAUAUGUAUAAGAAAGUAACAAUAAGUUUCCAAAAUUAGUUUAAGUAAUCUACACAUAAAAUCAAAAUAGUUGACCCUUACUCGAUAUAAGGUUGGAUGAUAGUUGUAUUUUCCAACACAUAAUGAUGUGCUUGCAACAAAAAAUUACAAUCAACUUCGGUGAUAUGACCUCCAGGAAUAGGCGCCCCAACUUUAUGGUCAACAUUAGUGCUACUAGGAACUCCAAUUGCAUCCACAUUUGAUAAGUACUCUGUACAAAAUUCAAUAGCUUCCUCUGCAAUGUAGCAUUCAACAAUGCAACCUUCAGGGUGGUUACGGUUUCACACAUAACCCUUUAAUACUUUCAUGAACCUUUCAAAUGGGUACAUCCAUCUAAAAUAAACCGGUCCACAAAGUCUCACCUCUCUAACAAGAUGAACCGUUAAAUGAAUCAUGAUAUCAAAGAAGGAUGGCGGAAAGUACUUUUCAAGCAAGCGCAAUGUCACAACAAGUUCAUUUUGUAACUUAUCCAAUGUAGACACAUCAACCACCUUCUUACAUAAAGCAUUGAAAAAAAGGCUCAAUCUAGCAAUAGCAUGUCGUACAUGCUUUGGCAAAAGUGAUCGCAAUGCCACUGGUAACAAUUGUUGCAUCAGUGUAUGAUAAUCAUGAGACUUCAGGCCAUAAAGGUUCAAAUCUUCCAUUGACACAAGAUUUCUAAAGUUUGAGCAAUACCCUUCAGGAACCUUUAACUCAGCUAAAGUUUGACAAAAUACUUUCUUCUCCUUUCUAGACAAUGUAUAACAUGCAAGCGGAAGGUAAGUUCGAUUCGAUUCAAACCUUAGUGCCAGUUUACACCUUAAGCCCAUGUCCAUAAGGUCCAGACGAGAAUUGAGUCCAUCUUUUGUCUUCCCUGGGAUGUUAAGUAAUGUACCAAUGAUGCUUUCACAAAUAUUUUUCUCAAUGUGCAUUACAUCCAAAUUAUGACGAACAUGCAAAUAUCUCCAAUACUCAAGUUCAAAGAAUAUAGACUUUUUCUUCCAACAAUUGGUAUAAGUCACAUUGGAUUUUUCAUGUCUUCCCCUUUUUUUCCCCCAUGAAUUACAAAUGACAUUCAUUUUCAAUAGUAUUUCCUCUCCACUUAAUGGUUGUGGAGGUGAUCGAAACUCCUGCUCACCAUUGAAUGCCUUUCUAUGUUUUCUAAAAGGAUGAUUGCAUGGAAGAAAACGUCUGUGGCCUGUAAAUGAGUUCUUUCUCCCAUGCUUUAACCUAUGUGAAUAGGUUUCCGGUCCAUAUAUUGGACAAGCAAAAUAUCCUUUGACUAUGCAACCAGAUAAGUUUCCAUAUGCAGGAAAGUCAUUUAUUAUCCAUAAUAGAACAACCCUUAAUGUAAAGACCCCUCUUUGAUAUGCAUCAUAAGCUUCUACCCCUAUCUCCCACAAGGUUUUAAGGUCCUCAAUCAAUGGUGCUAAAUAGAUAUCUAUGUCAUUUCCAGGUUGUUGUGGACCCGAUAUUAACAAAGAUAACAUCAUAAAUUUUCUCUUCAUGUACAACCACGGUGGAAGGUUAUAAGUGAUCAUGACAACUAGCCAACAACUAUACCUGCUGCUCAAAGAACUAUGGGGAUUUAUGCCAUCUGCUGAAAUGACAAGUCUAAGGUUUCUAGGUUCUGCAGCAAAAUCAGGCCAUCUAUGGUCAAUUACCUUCCAUGACGGCGAGUCGGAUGGAUGACGCAUUUUUCCAUCAAAUUCUCCACCUUCUGCAUGCCAUAUGAGGUCUUUUGCAAUUUUUGAGGACCGAAACAUUCUUUUAAAUCGUGGGAUAGGUGGAAAAUACCACAUUACUUUAGCAGGAACUCCUUUACUCUUUUUGCUUCCUCUUCUAUUCACCUUCCACCUUGAAGCUCCACAUGUAGGACAUGAAGAUGCAUCUUUUAACUCAUUCCUAAAAAGUAUGCAAUCAUUGGGACAUGCAUGUAUUUUUUCAUAUUCCAUUUCCAAUGCAUUCAAUGUUUUUUUUGCUUCAUACAUAGACAAUGGCAACUCAUUGUUUACAGGCAACAUAUCACCAAGUAAGCUUAAUAGCUCGGAGAAGCUUUUAUCAGACCACCCAUAUCUUCUUUUCAGAUUGUAUAAUUUAACUAAAGUAGAUAAUUUGGUGAAGUUUUUGCAAUCGAGAUACAAAGGUUUUUCAGCAUCUUCAAGCAACCUUUCAAAUAAUUUUGGAUUAGCCUUACAAUCAUCUUAUGCAGCUUCAACCAUUUCUACUGUAUGAUCCACAUUACCAAUAUGAAUUCUAUCAAAACAUUCAACCCUUGUAGUUAGGGGUCCACUACUUAGAGCUGCCUCCCCAUGCCAAAACCAAGUAUGGUAACUUUGGUCAAUUCCAUAAAAGAAUAGGUGUUCUCUAAUCUUUUGAGGAGUAUUGAAGAUCAAAUUUCCACACUAUAGACAUGGGCAUUUGAUGGAGUUUUGAUUUGCAGAAUUUUGAACUGCAAAUGAAAUGAAAUUUUCAACCCCAUCCUCAUAGUCUUUUGAUCUUCUAUCUUUUGACAUCCAGGAACGAUUCAUUUGCCUAUAAUAGUUGAACACAAUUCCUAUAUAGCAAACAUAAGCAAACAAUGGAAAUGGAAAAGACUUAGAAAGUUACCUUUAGAAAACACUCAAAACUUUCAGUUUCUCAUUUGUGACAUCCAAAAUUUCUUUUAAACUUUCUAUGGACAAACAAUUAGGAUUCAAGUGCAAUAAAAAAUUUGAACCUCAUCCUUAAUAAAAAAAAUGAUUAACAAUAUGACAAUAGAACCUUUUGAUGCAUGUUUUUAUGCCUUUUAACAUGUCCAUCAUCCAAAAUCAGGUAGUUGUUCCUAUCCCAUGUAGGAAUACAUAAUCCCUAUGUGUUAAUUGCCAAUAUACUCAAUUUCAUUUUAAAGAAAUUUUGGCAGCAUUUCCCCAUAGUUCUCCAAGUACACAAAAUGAACAAGGUAUAAUAUGUGACCUUGUUCAAAUAUGCACCCAAAGAACAAGAGGAAAUACUACCAAAAUUUCUAAAAAGUGAAUUAAGCACAAGCAAUUAACUUCAUAGAUAUUAUGUUUUCCUACACUGUCCAAUCGGACAAUUCAAACAUCAUUGCAAAAAAAAUAUCUUUAUCACAUUCUAGACAAUUUAAAAGUUGUCAACUUGAAAGUGGCUUAGGUAAAACCUUUUUCACCUUUGACAACUUAAAUGUCUUUAGUAUGUAAUAAGAGAAACUUUUAUCUUACAAUGAUAGUUGAAUGGGAACUCUAAGGUUUCAUGCAUGCAUGUUUGAUUAAAAUUAAAACACAAUUACUUAUUGAAUAAUCUAAUAAUUAUAAAACACCUAAAGUUGUUCCAUAAUUAUUGCUAUAUUUCAUCAUUAAACAAGAUUAUUAUGAGAAAGCAUACGUAUGGCCCAUGAUUUGCGAAUCAAGUCACACCAGUCUAUGUCAUAGCCUUGGGUCAAAAUUUGGGCCUUGGUAUCAAACUAAGCUAGGGAAUAACUCGUACAAUUCAGGUACUCAAUAAGAUUUAAACAAAAUUUAAAAUAACGCUUCCAUUAUAUUCUUUUGACCACCCAAAGUAAAAAUGGUAUUAUGAUUAAAAUAUGUUGGUUUGUAUAAGGAAAAAUAGUGUACCUUCCUCACUCUGUCUUUGUCUCAAGUCUUGCAUCACACACCUCUCGUAGUCCAAUGUAGGUCACUGUCUCUUAAAAUAUGUAUAUGCAAAACAAAUAAUAAAUAAAGAUAUAAAAUAAAUCCAUUAGUAGAUAUUAACAAAUAAAUACAAAAUAAAUUAAAAUAAGAAAUAAACUAAGAAGAAAAAACAUAUAAGUAAGAAAAAAAAGAUUUUCACAUGUGCAACAAUGGUUAGAUAUUUUUAAAAAUUUAUAAAAUUAUUAAAAUCAAACUAUUUUAGUUAUUAUUUUUUUAAAAUGGUAAUUAAUACUCAUAUAAAAUAAAAUAUAUGCAUGAUGAGAAAGGUAAGAAGAUUAUUCCUUGUGCCCUUUUUCAUUUGAGAUUAUGACUUUUGGUGAUGACCUAAUGGUGGGUGAACCGUGAACCACACUAUCUGACCCGGGUCAAGUCCUUAGGGCAAGAAAGAUGACUGCAAGAUGGGUAGAACUUAAACGAAUGAGAUAGAAAAGUCUGGUCUAAAUUAAGGUGGCUUAACAAUCCGUAAUCAUCUUGGUUAGGUUGUAUCAUAUUGUGAAAGAGAAGUUACAGGCUAGGUCUUCAGCAUCCAGCAAUUCCACCCUUUGAUUUUUCCAACAUGUUGCACCAUCUAAUAAUAAUACCUAUGAUCCUAUACCUUAGUUUUGAUUCCUUAUGUAUACAAAGUAUAUAUGGUUACACUACAUUAAAGUUAUUUUUUUUCUCUAAAAAGUAAUUAGUGUAAAUUUUAAAAGUAGGCUAAUAUUCAUUUUUUUUUUCACUUCUUAUUUUUUGUUUUGAAAAUAGAAAAUAGUAACAACUCUUAUACAAAAUAUUUUACUAUUUUUUGUUUUUAAAAUAGAAAGUUAGAAAUUGCAUUUUAAAAGCAAUAUUCUAUUUCAAUCCACACAAAUGAUACAAGUUUUGAAAUAUUCCAUUACCAUAUUUUGAGUAAUAUUUUUAAAGGGUUAAUUUAAUUCAUUUCCCCUCAAGAUUUGACUAAAUAUAAUGGCACCCGAUAAUAUGAAAUUUGAAGAAGUCCAUAUACUCUUCAAGUCUAUAAUUAGAAGUUCCUAGUAAGUUGUCACCCAUACUAAUGAAAUUUCUUGAGUCAACAUUAAUCUCGAACCUUUUUGCUACCUUCAUUACCUAUUUUGCCCCUUUACCACCUACUUAGUCCUCUUUACUUUGACCAUGUGUGUUUCUCUUACUUGCCCCUCUACUUUUAUGAAAGAAGCAUAUAGAAGAAGCCCAUUCAAGUUUUUAAUUUUUCUUUGUUUGGAUCAUUCCUUGAAACCUUCUAAAAUUUCCCUUGUACUUAGCCUCAACAUUACAGGUCCAAUAAAACUCUUAUAAAUAAAAUUAAAAGUGUAAUAAAUAUUAUAAAAUUAUUUUAUUAAAAAAAUUAAUAUAUAUAUAUAUAUUGUAAUUAUUAAAUUAUAUAAAAUCUUAUUCAAUAAUAAUAUUGUGAUAUUUAAUUAUAAUAUGUUUAAUUUUAAAAUAUAUUUAAUAUUAAAAUUAUGAUAUAUUUAAUUAAUAUAUUAGUGAUAUUAAAAACUUUUUACAAUUUAAUUAAAUAAAAAAAUUAUUUACAUAUAAAAUAAUUAUAAUUAAUUUGUUGUUUAAAGGAUUAUUUUAAUAUUUUGUGUAUAUAAAAACUUUUAAUAUAUAUAUAUAUAUAUAUAUAUAUAUAUAUAUAUAUAUAUAUAUAUAAUCAUAAGGGUUUUGAUUUCAACAAGGUAUAUUUUAUUAAGUAAAGAAAGAAGGGCAGCUUCCUUGAACUUUCAAUCCCAACUUGCAGAUUUUACACCUUCGGCAUCACAGGUAUAUUGAGGAGGACAAGGAAAAGUGCCAUCAACGUAUCCUAAGAGGUCGUUGCUAAUUAAAACAGGGAGGAAUUUAUCUUUCCAGAGAAGAUAGUUGGUGGAAUCAAGUUUGAUUGGUAAUAUUCGGUGCAGCAAGUAGAGUGGAAGAAGGCAGUGAAUUCGAAAUAAAAACUGAUAAGAAUGUGACAAAGAAGAAGGAAGAACAAAAGGAUAUGAUGGUGUAGAAAAAUAAGAAGAAGAAAAGAAUAGGGUGAAGGAAUUUAUUUGAGGAGAAUAGGAGAUGACAAAGUUGAUACCUGAGUCAAGAAGGGAGGAAGAGCAGUGGUGGAGAUGACAGAUGGAGGUCCGGCAAGAGUGCUAGGAGGCAAGGACUUAAAAACCUGGGUCAACGACGAUGCCGCUAAGGACGAAACUUGGCUGGGAAUAUCAAUAUGUGCAGCAGACAACAGAAUAGAUGAUGUUUCAAUGGAUGAGGAAAUUUCAGCAGUGGAAGAUGGUGUCGCAGCCAUGGCAGAGGAGAUUAAGAGAGGAUGCAGCAGGAAAGAAAUUGCUAGAACAAUGACAGCGGCAGGUUUAGAAUCCUUUCAACACACCAAAUUUAGAGUCAGACUUGACAGCCUUUCAAAGACGCGGAGGCAUAGAAUAUUCUUGAUUAAAAUAUGUGAGAUCAUAAGCACCAAGGAAAUCAACGACCCCACCACAGCUAUUGCCACUCUCCGCCUCUUCUUCCACGACUGCAUGGUCGAAGGCUACGACACCUCAGUCCUCAUCUUCUCCAACUCCUUCAACACCGCCCAGCACGACGCCGACAUCAACCUCUCCCUCCCAGGCAAUACUGUAUCAAUACAUCCAGAUUGUACGAGUCUUGCCUCUCUAGUCAUCAGUCAUCAUUCAUGACUUUGUAGGAGGGAUGAGGUAGACCAAACAAAGCCUUCGGAUGGGCUCAAAUCUAGCCACAUCCAAGUUCCAAAUUCCUAUCCCCUAAAGUAAAAUUUAAAUUAUUAUUAUUAUUUACAUUCUGUAGAAGUUUCUUCUUUAAAUGAAUUUUAUUUUUGAGAAAACUUGCUAUGGAAAGUCUGCAUCUUGAUUUCAACCGAGACAAACCCAUAUCUUUUGGACCUGGUGCCUCUCCCAAUCCUUGACUGCCCAACAACUAAAAUUCAAACCCAAGCCCACCAAAGAAAAUUUUAAAACACGUCAUGCCUUUGCCAGUUGUUCCCCUCUCAAUACCAUUUAAAAAUCCCCCAUUCUGUAGCUUUCUCAACUGCUGCAGUCGAACCUGUCUUCUCCUUGGUGUACGAACACGACACGUCCAUACCUACAGGCGGUAGAGGCUACACCUCCUUUCCCACGCCCUUGUGCUGGUGCGUGAGCCACCCACCACAUUACCCUCAAGCUCCAUCCCGAUCACCAUGCUGGCUACUACAUCUCCAUGGCAUUACACUAGGCAAAAACAAGGCGACACUUCCCACCACAACUAAAAGGAGAAGCUGAAAUUAUACCUAUUACAACUUGCAGCGUACCAUACAACAACAAGAACAAAAAAUGCACUGUAUUUAUUUGGGAUACCAUUACCCUGAUUUUCUCCUCCCAAAAUAAUUUCCCCAUCUAUGAAACAAUAAUAUUAGAUUUUUGGAACAAUGAAAACCCUUCCAUUUGUCUUCAUUUGUACUAAUCUAUUCAAGUUUGAGGAAAACAACAUUACUUGAGAAAGAGAUUUACCUGUAACUAUGAUGCUCUGUAGUAGAUUUUGACAAUGGUAACCUCCCAUGCAUGGAAGUUAGACAUGGCCAUUCCAACGGAUUAGGGCAUUUUAGUGGUGGACUUAGUGAGAGCUAUAGGGUUUCGGGGUUUCUUCAGUUCUGAAAUUGUGGAGGGAAUGUCUGGCGGGUACUUGUAGAAAGGGAAAAACAUUUAAUUAAUAUAUAUAUAUAUAUACUAUUAUUUAAUGUCACCUAAUAUAAGUGCCAUGAAAUAUCACAACUAUGACACUGCUAUAAAGUGUCAUGGAAUAACCAGUUAUUCUUAUAAGUGCCACAACAAGCAAUGAUACUUUAAAUAAGCGCCAUGAAAUAAAAAAGCUAAUAUAAAAAAUGACCCUUUUGAAAAAACGCCAUUGUAUAUCCAAAUAUAAUGAUACUUUAUGAAAGCGCCAAUGAUUAAAGCGUCAUAAUUUUCUAUUUUUGUAGUAGUGGUUAGACAUUGGAAAAUAUUGUAUAUAUAAAUAUAUUAUUAUAAUAAUAAAAAUGAGAAGAAACAUGAGGAUUACUAUUUUAGUCUUAGGACUUUUGUGUGUAAUGAAGAUAGGAGGGUAAUGAGUUGGUUAUGCAUUGAAUUUGAAAAUUAAUAAAAAUAAUAAUAUUUAGUUUUAAGCUAACAAAGGAAAUAUUAGCAAUAAUAACAGUUUAGUGCAAUAAAUACAAAAACAAUAUAUUUUUGAGAAAUGUAGUUUAAAAAUAAUAACAAUAAAUUAAUGGAAUUUGGAGGAUAAAUUUUGGAAAGAACCCAAUUUUUAGAAGAAUUUAAAAAAUCACAUGUUAAAUUAUUAUUGAUUAAGAAGUUAAAAAUAAUAGGUGACAUAAUAUAGAAAAUUUCAAUCCCAUCCUACUUAUUUAAAAUAAUUAUCAUCCUCGUGCUAGUAAAAGAGAAAAGAAAAAUAGAGUGGGGUGGGUAUAUGAAUUUACCAUAUUAGUCUCACCUCACCCUGAUUAAAGUCUUCUUUUCUAAAUUAAAUUUUAAAAAAUUUAAUUAAAUAAAUGUAUUUUAUAAAUAAUUAAAAUAUUAUAAUUUUUAUAACUUAUUUUAUUGCAAAGUAAUUAUUUUUAUUAUUUUAUAUGUAUUAAAAAUGGGGAAAUAAAAAAUUUAAAUUAAAUUAUUUUUUGAAAUUCAUUUUAUAUAUAAUUAGGGUGAGAUGGGAUGAGACAAGGCAAAAUCUGAAACUAUCCUGCAUUUAAAAAAAAAAAAAGAAAAUCUCAAACUUGCCUCACGUUUAAAAAGAAAAAAAAUCUCAAACUUGCUCAUAACUUAUUUAUUUUAAUUCCAAACCAAUAAGGUGGGACGAGGGCCUGUAGCCAUAGAAGACUUGUAGGGAUUUUACCCGAAAAAUCUCACUCUAUUGUUAUCGUACUCCUAUCCAAGUUGAUAGUCAACUUGUAUACCUUGUUUUUUUUUUUUUUCAAUAUUCAAAUAAAUCACAAUUUAAUUUUAAUGGUCUUUAAACUAAAAGUUCAAUUAAAUGAAUUUUUUCGUGUCAUUAGCUUUCACAACCUCGUAAGUGCUAAUAAUAUUCAAUUUCAAAUAAUCAUCAAAGUCUAUACAACCAUUUCUAAAUCAAAUGUUCUCAUAGUUUAUUUUCAACCAAUCAAAGUAUAAUUAAAUUACAUAUAUCCAAAUUCCCCAAAUAAAUACACAUCUAAUUUCCCCGUUGCUUGGUAGGAGGCCUUACACCCAACAGGGUUAACAAGUAAUAAUCAAAGACUAAAAAUACAUGAAAUAUUGUAAAAUUAUAAAGUGACAUGAGAAGAAAACAAGAAAGAGAAAUCAGAAUGUAGGAAGAGAAUAGAAUUUCAUUAGAGGUAUUUCCCUUUUAUAGGGAGUCACAAAGAGAUAUACAUCAAUAUGGAUGAUCAUCCACAAGUUCCCAUAAUCCGAUAAAUUCUCAUAUUUUAUAACACUCCCCUUUGGAUGAUCAUAAGAAUAUGCCUCAUUAAAACCUUACUAGGAAAAACCCCAUGGGAAAAAACUUUAGUGAAGGAAAAAUAGUACACUAUUCUUUUGGAUUACUAUAACUACCUCGUUAAAAACCUUGCCAGUAAAACCCAUUGGGACAAAACCUGGAUGAAGGAAAAAAAAGUGCAGUAUAUCCAUAUUAUCAUUCUCCCCCUCAUGUAAACAUGAUUAUGAUUUCUUCAACAUUUCAAAUGGUAGAUCUCUCAAUCUUCAUAUUCCAAAGUCAUACCUUAACUUUUUCAAUGUGGUCAAAGGUAACACCUUUGUGAAUAGAUAUGUUAGAUUAUUUCAUGUAUUCAAAUAAAAUAAAUUUUCCUUCACUAAGGUUUUUUCCCAUGGAGUUUUUCUUAGUAAGGUUUUAAUGAAGUAUAUUUUUAAGAUCAUCUAAGGGGGAGUGUUAUAAAAUAUGAGAAUUUAUCAGAUUAUGGGAACUUGUGGAUGAUAAUUCAUAUUGAUGUACAUCUUUUUACGAAUCCCUAUAAAAGGGAGAUACCUCUAAUGAAAUUCUAUUCUCUUCCUACAUUCUGAUUUUUUUUUCUUAUUUUCUUCUCCUUUCACUUUAUAAUUUUAUAACAUGUUAUCAGCACGACUAGUCUCUACAAAAGAAAUAGAAAUAUUUUUCUCUAUUCAGAAAAAUAACAAGAUAUUCUUUAUUCUUUCUCACAAAAAGGUAUGUGAUAAACUUAUAUCAUGAUUUUCUAUUUUAUUACCUUUGAUCUCUAUUUUCAUUUAUUUUAUUUGAAUAUAUAAAUAUAUAUAAUCUCAAUAACCGGAAGUUAUGGGGUAAAUUCAUAACCAGAAGUUAUAAAAAUUAUGUGCAAUUCCUAUAACCAGAAGUUAUGAGGAAAAAUUAGAAAAUUACAUAUACAUAACCAGAAGUUAUGUAUAUGAUCUCUAAUUAUUUAUUUUUAAUUAUACGGUAUAACUGAAUGUUAUACCAAACAAUAUUAUAUAGCUAGAAGGUAUAAAAUAAAUAAAUAAAUAAAUGUUCAUAGCCUGAUUAUUUUGUCAGAAUAAGAAAAUAUUUAAAUUUGUACAUAACUUAGGCCAUGAUUAUUUUGUCAGAACAAGAAAAUAUUUAAAUUUGUACAUAACUUAGGUCAUGAACUGUUUUUUAUAUAAAUUUAUAUAUAUCUUCAGGCUAUGAACUAUUUAUUGUGUAGAUUUGUGCAUAACUUCGGGCUAUGAACUUUCAUUAUGUAGAUUUGUACAUAACUUCAAGCUAUGAACAUUUAUGUAUUUAUUUACUUUAUAGCUUCUGGCUAUAAUAUUGUUUGGUAUGACAUCCAGUUAUACCGUAUAAUUAAAAAUAAAUAAUUAGAGAUUAUAUACAUAACUUCUGAUCAUGUAUUUGUAAUUCUGUAAUUUUUCUUCAUAACUUCUGGUUAUAGGAAUUGCACAUAUUUUUCAUAACUUCUGGUUAUAAAUUUACCCCAUAAUUUAUAAUUUACCCCAUAACUUCUGGUUAUAGAGAUUAUACAUAUUUAUGUAUUCAAAUAAAAUAAAUGAAAAUAGAGAUCAAAAGGUAAUAAAAUAGAAAAUCAUGAUAUAAGUUUAUCACAUACCUUUUUGUGAGAAAGAAGAGAGAAGAUCUUUCUAUUUUUUUGAAUAGAGAAAAAUCUUUCUAUUUCUUUUGUAGAGACUAGUUGUGUUGAUAACGUGUUGUAAACUUAUAAAGUGAAAGGAGAAGAAAAUAAGAAAGAGAAAUCAAAAUGUAGGAAGAGAAUAAAAUUUCAUUAGAGGUAUAGGGAGUCACAAAGAGAUAUACAUUGAUCAUUCACAAGUUUCCAUAAUCCGAUAAAUUCUCAUAUUUUAUAACAUGAAAAUAUUAAUAAGAUAUUUUAUUUUAUCCCGAAUAUGUAUAUAUAUAUAUAUAUAUAUCUUGGUAAUUAAUAAAAAAAUACAAAUGGACGUGAAUACACCCAAUCAUACGAUUCACUAUUCUUCUUGGGGUUUCACCUAAUGAUAUGUGUAUGUAAUCAAGUAUACUCUCCAUUUAGAUUUUUCUCGGGUCUAUUGUUAUGUCUUUUAUACUUGUGAUCACGCUCUUUUCUUAAUUUAUCCUCUUAUGUGACAUUUCUUUUUUGUCUCUCAUUUUUUUUUUUCCAUUUUACACCACCUUUCCUCAUUAUAUAUAUAUAUUCACACAAUUAUGAUGCAAAUAUAAUAUAUAAUAUGAAACUAUUAUUUUUAGAACAUAUUUUUAUCUUUUAAAUUGACUCCAAAAUUUAAAAAUUCAAUACACAUUUUUUUUUUAAUUCUCAUGAAUUAAUGAUCAUUUCAUUUUCCUCUAGCACUAUUUUAUCAACAUCAAUAAAAAUAUAAUUUAAAUAACACUCAUAUACCAAAUCACCCGUGGAUAUUACAAGUAUUAACAUAUUUAUUUCAUGGCAUAAUAUUUAUAACUUUUUUCUUAAAAAUAUAUUAAAUAAAUUUUUUUGGGAUACAUCGCCCUACCAAAAACUGCGAACCUAAUCGUUAUUUUUGAAAUUGAGCUUUGUAGCCAUAUUCCCCAAAUAAAAGGUGGUUUGUUUCAACGAAUUUCUGUUUUUAUUUUCAAAGAAAACAAAAGGUAGGUUUUAAAUAUGUUUAGACAAUGUUUUACCGGUUUUUGUUUUCUAGAAAUCUAAAUUCAGAAAAUGGAAAAAAAAAAAAUGAAAACAUCAAUUUGUUAUUUUCAAAAUUUUAUUAAGAAAGGUGAAAACAAUUUUAAAAAAUAUUCAAAACAAAGAAAAUAAAAAUAAAAAAGACCUUAUGGGAUUGAUCAUAAUAUAAAAAAAUAAAUACAAAUAUUGUAUAUAUAAAAAAUAUUAAUAUAAAUAAAACAUGAAAUAAUAAGUAAUGUAUAAAUAUUUGGUUUAUUUUUUGGAUUAGAGAUUAUUUAUAAGUUGAUAUAUUUUUUGAAUAUAAACUAAUUCAUUUUAAUUGAUUAGUCAGAAGAUUAUUAGAAUAUUUUAUUACAUUAUUUUAAAACAAAAAUAAUAUAGUAAAGAAAAUAAAAAAGAAUAAUGAACAAAUACAAGGAAAGCGUGACUUUAUAGUAUAUAUGUUAUAACACAUAACAUAAAAAAUAAUCAUAAUUAUAUAAAAUUUUAAUUAUAUUUAAUUUCACAAUUUUUAAUAAAAACUUAAAAUCAAAAUUUUUUUUUGCAAAUUUUAUUUUUUAAAAGCAGAUUUCAUUUUUCUUAAACAAAAUGUAUUUUUUAAGAAAAUAAAAAAUAGAAAGUGAAAAUUGUUUUGAAAAAAUAAAAAUUAGAAAAGCGUUUUUCAAAUUAAAUACAAUCAAUUAAUUUCUUUUCUUUUCUUUUUUGUGAAUGUAGAUACAUUAUUGAGUCAUUAAAUCUUGUGUUAAAGUGUAGUUUUUUUUUUUCAUUUAUUUUAUUUUCUUGUUUAUUAUUGACUUGCUUCCGGAUAACAUCGAGAGUUGCAAAUACAUCUUAUGAUUGAGUACAAAUAUUAGGUCUUGUCAUUUUCUCAAGUAGGAAAAGAUACGGGUGUUUCGAUGAAUUGAAUUAAUAGUGUUAGGACAUUUGCUUUGUUUUUUUGGUUGAUAAUUUUGUUUCUUUUCAUUAUGAUAUAUGAUUUUUUUAAAUAGUGACAUUUGUAGAUGAUGACUUACUCUUUACUGAAGAUUUGAGACUGUCGUUUAAUUAAUCGGAUGGUUAUAUGUAAAUUUGAAAAGAUUUAAGUAAAGACAAUUUUUUUAUAAGUUAGAGUUAGAUGGAAAGUUUUAAAAUUAAGUUAAAAUAUUUUAAUUAAUUUUUAAAAAGUUGAGAUUUUAAUUUUUUUUAAAAAUCGGAUGUUAUCAUUAGGAAAAUGUCAUAACUUAUCCUACCAUUUUUGAAAGCUUUAAAAGGUUUUUUUUUUAUAAAUAAUUAUGGCUUGUUGAAGGGACCUACAUCAUCUCAGAGAUUGAGAUGAAUUCAGUAGAGUACUCGAGGUAUUGUGUCCCGAGGAUGUAGGUGGAAAGUAAGUGCAAGGUAAAACCAAUUUUUAUUUUUAUUUUUUUUUGUUAAAAACUCUUAAGACGAUGAUGAUGUUAUACAUAUGCAUAUUCAAUAGAUUCUGCAUCAUGAGCUCAAGCUGCUAGAUGCUAUGAAUAGGUCAGGACUGUGGAUGACAUGUGUUUGACACGUGGAAAUGAAGAGUGAGGAUGAGCAUCCAAUUAUUUUUAUCUUUAAUUCCCAUGUUUGAAUAAUUUAAAUUAUGAUGGGAAUGAAUCAAAAAGUGAUUCAAAUGGAAAUAAAAUCUUACUUAUAAGUAGGAUUUCAAUUCUCUCCAACUAGAGGUAUUUUGAUUUCUUAAUGUAAGUUAUUUUUAAAAAUACUUUUUAAAAAUUUAAAAACUAAACAUUUAAUUUUUUUGAAUAUGUUGUUUUUGAAAAGAAAUUUUUAGUUUUAUUUUGUAAAAAAAAAUAUUUUAAAUUAAGAUAAUAUAAUGUAAACUAAAUUUAAUUCAUGUCUUAUUAAAAAAUAAAAAUAAAAAUAAAUUAAAAAAUAAAUAGUUUUUAAUAAAUAUGAAUAUUAAUAAAAUAAUAAAAUCAGAAAUGGUAUAUAUUUUUUAUAAAUAUUAUAAAUAUAUAGAUAUUAACAUUAAUUGAUUUAUUUUGUUAAAAAUAAAGAAUAGUUAUUCNCNAAUUAAUAAUUUCUAAUACUAUCUAUUUUAAAUUAAUAUAAAAAAAUAAAAUUUAAUUUUUUAAGGUAUAAAUGAGCCAAAUUUUUUAUUAUAUGCAUAUAUUUAUAACCCAAUUGUGAAGAUGACAUUCUAAAUUAUUUUAUUUAUCUAUAAUUAAUUAAUCAAUUUUUUAAAAUUCAAAUUAUUCUUAAAAUUACAAGAUUUAUUAAAGAAUUUAUAGUAUUAAUUAUGUCUAUUAUUUUUAUAGUCAUUAUAUAUAUAUUUUUGAGUUUUAAAUAAUUUUUGAAAUUAUAAAACUUAUUAAUAAAUUCAAUACAAAUUCGAUUUGAAAUUCAUAUUUUCUACUAAAAAAAUCGAAAGAAUAAUUCUCUAUUUUAUUUUAUUUUUAAAAAUUGUUUUUAAAAAAUAACAAUCAAAUAGUGAUAUAAAUUUUUUAAAAACAAUUUUUUUUUUUAAAUCAUGCACCCAAAUAAGUUUUUAUUAUUUAGAAAAAAAAAACAAAUUCCUAAGGAUUUUUUCAAAUGAAAAUAAAAAAUUACUUCAAACAACGUAGAAUGUGAGAUUUUUUUUAUAAAUAAAAAUAAAAAUAAAGAAUUAUUUUAAAUCAGAUAUACAAAUAUUAUUAAUAAUUCUUUUUUUUUUUUUCAUUUUCAUUCCUAUUUUUAUUUAACAUUGAAAUAUAAUCAAAUUAUCAUUCCAAUCUUAUAUUCUUAUAUGCAUGCAAACAUAAAAAUUAAAAUUACCAAAUUCAUUCCUAUCAAUAGGGAAUAGUAGUAAAACAAAAUAUUCAUUUCCAUUCCCAUUCUUCGUUAUGCGUACCAAACAUGUCCUUAUCUUACAUAGAAUCUGGCCAACAUUAUAGGGCAUGUGGGGAUCGGGCAGAUGUUAAUUUGUUGGCCUGAAAUUGGAAAUCAUCAUCUUUAUGUCACUAAGAAGUAACUUAAUGAACCUAGCUCAAAUCCAUGCUAUGUUCAGUACAAGACAGUGAUGGUGCUAAAGACGAUAACCUAAUACGUGGGUCCCUUUUGCCUAUCAGGAAAAACAUAACACAUGCGUGCUUCCUGCGACUUCUUUCAUGAAAACUUUUCAGUCUAUUAUCCUUCGCAGUGCCAUUGAGAAACAAGUAUCUCCACAAAUUGGUUCCUCUGAUUUAAUUUGUCCAUUACAGAUAAUGGCUGUUCAAGUUAGCCUAUUUGCCACGUCCCUGGGAUUUCUGUCUUAAUCAUAUAAGACAAUAUAUUGAAUGGGAAAGCGAAGCUACGUGAACUUCCCAACUACGUAUGCAGCCUCUUGCACUCACACUCACUCACACGAAAGUCUAUAAAUACCGAGUUCGUAUUGCCCUUGCAAUCCAUCCAGCAGAGAAACAUCUUUGAGAGUUUCCUUUAUCAGUAGAGUCUUUCACCUCCUUUGCUUUUGUGUAGGAAAGAUGGCUUACUCCAGGACUUUCCUUCUCCUUGGCCUUCUCUUUGCUGUUGUUCUCAUCCUGUCCUCUGAGGUUUCAGGUCGGGAGCUAGCUGAAACAGCCGAAACUCGUAAGUUAAAUUUCUUUCAACUACUUUUUCAGUAGAAAUAAUGGCAAGUUAUAUUAUAUGUUCAUAUACAUAGGGAUAAUUUUGUUUUCUUAAAUUAUGGCAGAAGUGAUCAGCGUGGAAGAUGAGAAGCACGAUGGGUAUGGACACGGACACGGGCACGGCCACGGCCACGGAAAAGGACAUGGGCAUGGGAAACCUGGUCAUGGUGGCGCCGGUGAGGAUGUGGAAGACGAGACUGAGGGGGCUCAGAAUUAGAGUAAUCAAUCCUUAAUUAUGUGGGCCACGCAUGAUUAGGGUGGGUUUUAUGUAAGAUUAUGAAAGCGUAUAUGUCAAUAAGGCAUGUGGGCUAAGGGGUACUCCCUUAGACCAGCAUUGCUGCAGUUGUUAAAUAUGUAGGUCGGGACUUGUAUCUUUUAUUUCUCUAUGUUUUUUAUGUGCUAAAUAAAGUAUGAUGAAUGUUGUCUGGGGGUCCUACCCUUUUUACGUUGCAUUAUUUACUUGGAAUUGCCCGGAAUUUGGAUUUGAAAGGGAUUUUUUUUUUUUUUUUUUACUAUGGUAGCAUGCCCUUCAAUUCUCAUCGAUGGCUUUUACAUUUGCACCAAUAUAAUAUUAGUAAUUUCAACUUUGAACAUCAGUACUGUUUAUUUAUUUCAUUUUUUAAGGAUUUUUUUUAUUUUUUUAUUUAAUUUAAAUCUCCUUGAUUCCACUCCAAUAAAUGGUGCAACUUCAUGACCAAUAUGAACCCACCCCUUUUCACCCUGUUCUUCCAAAUAUAAUGCUUGAAAGUGAGUACUCCCAUGGAAUAAAUUGGUUUCCAAAAUCUCCAUUUAUUGAAAAAAACCACACACCCGAAUUUUCAUUUGGAAACUACCUCUCUCAUGCACCUUUGAAUUCAAUAAUCUUCUAACGUACUUUAAAAUAAAUAUAGCUACUAUCAAUAUUUUUAAAAUCAGAUCCAUCAUUGAAUUGAAAAAGUUAUCGAUCCAUGAUUCACUAAUCGAAUCGAUGGUUGAACCGUAGUCAAACCAAUGAUGUUAUAAAUAUAUAAUUUAUAUUUAUAUAUAAUUAAAAAUAAUUAUAAAAAAUAAACAAAUGUAUAUAAUUAAAAAAUUUAACAAUAUUUUAUUUUUUAUAUGAAUUAAACUAAAAAAAUUCUAUACUUGCAUAUGUAAUAUUAAUAGAUUAAAUCAUGAUAUAUAUGCUAAUAUUUCUAAAUUUACUAUUAUAUGUAUGUAGUAUUUAUGAUUUAAUAUUAAGAAGAUAUAUAUAUCCUAAGAUGAAAUCAAAUUUUAUAUGUCAUUUUAUCAUUUAAAAAUUAUUAAGCUUAUUUUACUAUAUGAAUAUUUUUAUUUAUUUCAAAAUUUUAUUUAUUUAUUAAAAAAAUAAUAUGCAAAUAUAUUUAACAACUGACUUGGGUUAAAAACACAAUUAGGUAAGUGGUCGCUGGUUUCAUUUUAUAUGCCCAGCUCGAAUUUUAAGUGGCUGACGUAGGAGUCUUGGGAAUGAAACAGAGCUGCAAAAUGAUGAAGGUGGGUUGCAUGGACCCAAAUCUUGAGAUAAAGUUGGAAAAAUGAUGGGUUUAUAGAAAAGGAAAAGAUCGUUCAGUUCUCAAAAACCGGUCGGUCCACUGGUUUGGAUGGUGCAUCUGUCGGUUCAUGUGAUUUGAUCCCGAUCCAAUGCUUCUAACGGUUUAACCGUUUAAUCAGAUUGGAACCAUGAUUGAUCGACGAUCUAAUUGGUUAAAUCGACGGACACAAUCUGAUUUUCAAAACCAUGGUUAUUACGAUAAAAACAUAAACAUUCCUCGUUUUAUUGUAAUAUUUGUUAGUAGAUUAAGGUAUUUAAAUUAAGUUGAUAAUUUUGUUUCCUAAUCUUGAUUUAGAAUUCUAUGUAUUUUUUAUUUUUUAUUUUUAUGAUUUACACUUCUAUUAAGUAAGGUUAUAAGAUUCAGGAAUAAAAUCAAUUUCGAAAGAAUUUCAAAUGGAAAGUCUUUUUAAACUUAAAAUAUGAUAUCUUUUUAAAUAUUUCUAAAAUUUAAAUAUUAAUUGUAUUCUUUUUAGUAAAAUAUGAUUUCUAAAUCGAUUAAAAGUUUACUAGAAUAUAUAUAUAUAUAUAUGCCUACUAGAAGAGUUCUCUUCCAAGAAUUCAUGUACCUAAAUUUUAUCUUAAAUUUUAAGACUGUUUGUCUUUUUCUUGAGUUGGAAGACUUUGAAUACAUUUGACAAUAAUUUUUAAAAGUAUUUAUAGUGUUUCUAAUAUUUGAAAAAUAAAAAUUUUAAAGACCAAAAACACUUUUCCAAAUUAUUGCAAAAUGCAUUCUUUGUGGCACUCUCAAUUGAGGAUGUUCUUUUUUGGAUCGACUUGUUGACGUGAGGACUGAGGAGGGACGUAUACAUGCACUGUAUAAGACAUGGUUGGCUAAUUCCAAUUUCCAACUACGUUAUUAAAGUGAGUGAUUUUGGAACCUUAAAAUGAUACGACAGACAUAGUAUAGCAUUUUUUGUUAGAAGGAUCGAAAUCCAUACAUUCUAUGACUUGUGAAAUAUGUUGGAGAGGGCUACCUAUUAAUAUUACUGCUAAUAUAUAGUGUAUAUAUGGUCCCCACCAGUACUUCAAUUCUCUGAAAAAAUGAAAUCUAGCAAAACCACGUGAGGAAAAGCUUUCUCACUGUAGAACUUAUCCAAACUUUUUCUUUGUUGCUAUAUUUGGUUUUUAUCCUCCAUCAACAAGUUAUUAGCAAUCAACCAUUGGCUAAGUGGGAAAUUUACUAGGUUAAAAAAUCACUGCUACAAAAAAUACAUUCAAUGACGGUCAUUUCCUUGGCGCUGGUAAGAAACGUCAAGUUACGGGGAUUUUUGAUAAUUUAAAAUUAAUUUUUUAAAAUACAGUAUAAUAAAAACUAUUUUCAAAUCUAUGAUACUUUUUUGUCACUUUUAAAAGUGUAUUUUAAAAAGACACUUUACAUCAUUUUUAUAUAAAUGAUAUACGUUUAAAACAAUUGAAUUUACAUUGAAGGUGUCUCUGGAAGAGACAAGAGACACCUUCCAUAAUUUUUAUAUCAAUAACACAUGUUAAAAAUUUUGAAUUUACAUUAAAAGUGUCUCUUCAAGAGACACCUUUUAUAAUUUUACAAAAUCAAAUUUAUAUUAAAAGUGUCUUUUAAAUAGAUAUUUUCACAGUUUUCAUAUCAGUUGCAUAAUAAAAAAUUGAAUUUAUACUAAAAAUGUAUUCUUAAGAUAUAAUUUUUUACAAUUUUACAAAAUUAAAUUUAUAUUAAAAGUGUAUCUUGAAUAGACACCUUCAAUAAUUCUUGCAUCAGUCAUCUAUUGANNNNNNNNNNNNNNNNNNNNNNNNNNNNNNNNNNNNNNNNNNNNNNNNNNNNNNNNNNNNNNNNNNNNNNNNNNNNNNNNNNNNNNNNNNUUGCAUCAGUCAUCUAUUGAAAUAAUGAAUUUAUACUAAAAGUGCAUUUUAAAAAACACAUUCCAUAAUUUCAUAAAAUUAAAUUUAUAUUGAAAGAUUAUUCGUUCAAGAGACACUUUUAGUAUAAAUUUAAUUUUUUUGAUAGGUGAUUAAUAUAAAAAUUGUGGAAAUUAUUUCUUCAAAAGACACAUUUAGUAUAAAUUUAAUUUUGUGGAAUUGAAUAGAUUCCUUCAAUGUAAAUUCAAUUUUUUUCACUGUGUAACUGAUAUGAAAAUUAUCAAAGAUGUCUCUUCUAGAGACACCUUUAGUAUUAAUUUGAUUUUAUGGUAUUGUGGAAAUGAUAUUUCUUUAAUAUAAAUUCAAUUUUUUUUAACGUGUAUGACUAAUAAAAAAAUUAUGAAAAAAUAUCUUUUGAAGAAACACCUUUAACAUAUAUUUAAUUUUAUGGAAUUAUAAAGUAUGUCUCUUCAAGAGACACCUUUAGUGUAAUUCAUUUUUUUUGGGGAGAAUUAUGUUUUGGGGGUAGAUGGGCUCUCAAAUUAACAAAAGGUCCAUAUAACUCUUCAAAUUGAGCCCAAGACCCAAUGAAAGUAUGGAAAUUGAGUUGAAGGAUAUCAUUCUUCAGUAUUUACAAAAAUACCCUUUGUUGAUUUUGAAAAAAAAAUUAAUAUUUUUGAAAAAUACUUUUAUUUAAUUUAAUAUUUUUUAUUUUAUUUAAUAUUUAAAAAAAUACUUUUAUGUAAUUUAAUAUUUUUAAAAUACUUUUAUUUAAUUUAAUAAUUUUAAAAAAUAAAUUUAUUUAAUUUAAUAUUUUAAAAAAAUAUUUUAAAAAAAAUAUUUUAAAAAAAAUAUUUAAUUUAAUAUUUUUUUAAAUACUUUAAUUUAAUUUAAUAUUUUUGAAAAAAAAUUUAUUUAAUUUAAUAUUUUUAAAAACUACUUUUAUUUAAUUUAGUAUUUUUGAAAAAAAAAAUUAUUUAACUUAAUUUUAUAAAAUAUUUUAUAUGUGUUUUUAAAGGGUAUAUUUGUCCGUUACUAUUUCAUAUCCUUCAACUCAAUUUGAAGAGUUACAUGGACCCUUUAUUAAUUUGGGGCCCAUCUACCCCCAAAAGAUAAUUCUCCCUUUUUUUUUUUUUUAACAUUUAUGGUUGAUAUGAAAAAUAUAUAAGGUAUUUCUUUAAGAAACACAUUUCAAAGUGGGAAAAAAAUGCCGUAGAUUUGAAAUUAUUUUUCAAACUACCAUAGUUUAAGAAUUAUUUUUUAAAGUACCGUUUUUUAAGAAUUAUUUUUUAAAAUAGCUGUAUAAGUUAAAAAAAGCCCCAAGUUACUGCAGGAAACACAUUGAGGAGUCAUGGAUGGUGGAAGUAUAGCUUUGCUGCUCCUGGACUUUCUGGACAGUCCCUUUGGACUCACAAAAGAGUCUUCAGUCACUAAAGAGGACAGAAAAUUCAUAUUGUUCGAUUUGUGUCAAAAUCCACUCGUAGAAAGUGGUUGUUGCAUCGUUUUGGAUCGCCAUAUAGAUGGUUUUGAUUCUUGUCUAAUUUUCUAUGAUAGUAAUUUUUCUUAAGUUUUCUUAGUCUCAAAAAGUGUUUAUUUUAUUUUAUUUUUUUACAAAUUAUAAAUAAAGUUUGAAUGCCUUUGGAUGGUUUAUUUCUCAAUUUUUAUGCCAAAUUUUUUGGUACAUUUCUUAGGCAAUAUCAUAUGUUUAUAUAUCAUUAAUUUGUUCUCUUAAACAAAAUUUGUUGUCAUAAAUAGGAAGAUUACGAAUGUUUAUGUAAUUGCAUGUUAAUAUUAGAAGUUAUUAAUAUAUUUAGUUACUAUAUUAUAAUUAUAUAUUUAUUAUUUAAUUAUUAUACUACAAUUAUUUUCUUUCUUUUUAGAAAUAAUGAUAAAUUAGUCUUUAUUUUCUUUUAUUAGACUUAUUUAAAUUGUAAUUGUCUUAUAUUUAUUUUAAAGAGAAUUGAUAAUAAGAAAUACCAAAUUUUCUUUUCUUUUCUCUUUGAAUCUUUUUUAGAUUUUAACAUGGUAUUAAAGCCUAGUUUGACAGGAGGCCAUGAGUUCGAGCCACCUCUUCACAUCUUUAAUGAGACUUUUGAUUUGUAAUUUCAUGAAAAAGAGUUUAAUAUCAUACGUUGUUUUCGUAUCUGUUUGAUCGUGAGAUAUAAUAAUGGGUGUUUACAUAAUUCUUUUCGUGUUUGAUCCUAAUAUUUGAUUUUGUAUUCAUUUGUUCGAUAUAAUCCAAAUUCUAUUUGUUGGAUAUGAAUCCAAAAUUCUGUCUAUCUUUCUUUUUUCUAUGUUGUUGAAUAUGAAUUCAAAUUAUAUUUGUUUCUAUUUGUUAUAUAUGAAUUCAAAUUCUCUUUGGCUUUGUCUUUUGGAAAUGAAUCCAAAAUUUGUUAAUCUUUUUUUCUUUUAUUUCUCAUUUUUCUAUGGUUUUAUGUCUUCUUCUAUCUCUAUUUAUUGAUUUCUCAUUCCUUGAUAAGUUUUAUGUUGACUUCUAUUUUUCUUUCUUUGAUGGUUUAGUUUUGUGUCUUUUUUUUUUUCUUCCUUUUUUUUCCAUUAUAGUUUUAGUUUUGUCUUAUUGUACUUUUUCUUUGAACAUAUGCUUUUUCUAUUCCUAUCGAGUCUCAUGGUGUCUUUGUGUUUGAGCUUGUUCACAUUGGUCUUUUUUUGUGAAUGAUACAAAUAAUAUCCAUGCAAAUAUUGAUAUUUGACACUUCAAUUAAACGGUGCAAAGCUCGAUUGUUUGCUAAGAGAUUUUUUCAAUAGUAUGAUUGUAAAGUUGUUUACCAAGUCAUACUUAUUUUCACAUUUUUUUAUUUUCGAUUAAAAACUUUCAAUACUUUUCGUAGUUGCAUUUUGAGCUUGUGAGGCGUGUUAGACGUUAUUAAUUAAUAUAUUUAGUUACUAUUUAUAAUUAUAUAUUUAGUUACUAUAUUUAUUUAUUUAGUUAUUAUAUUAAAAUUAUUAUUAUUUUUUAAAAUAAGAGUAAAUUAGUCUUUAUUUUAUUUUAUUAGACCUAUUUAAAUUGUAAUAAUGUUAUAUCUAUUUUAAAGGGAAUUCAUAAUAAAAAAAUCUUAAAUUUUCUUUCAUUUCUCUUUUUUUUUUUUUCUUUUUUAAUAUUUUUUGAAUUUCAACAUGUAAAAGUCUUAAGCAAGCCAAGUUGUUCAAAUUGUAAUUAUCUUUAUUUCUUUGAUCAAUCACAUUCCUAAUAUCUAUAAAGACCAUGAAAUUAUUAUUUGAUGAGAUGGUUAGAGUGAUGAGAGAAAGUGAUCGGUUGUCAUAAAUUCAUGUGGUCUUAUCAACCCUACAGGAGACUAAUGUUGGUUAAUCAUUUUCAUUUGUCGUCUACGAUGAGUCUUUAAAUUCAAAUUCAUCUAUUAAUGUUGACAACUUCAUCACAUCCACCCACUCAUUACUUUGCAUAAUCCCAUCUCUCCUUUCGUUAUUUCAAAUAUUGCGUAGCACACUUUCUAUAUUUUUUUUUAAUAUAAUUUUUUAGAGUCUUUUAAUAAAUCUUUUCGUUUCUUUCAUAAUGCCUCAAUUUUUUUCAAAUCAAUUUCUUUGUUGUAGUCUUUAUUCAAUAGAUUCCAUAAAUUUUGAGAGUUGCCCUUGAAUUGAGUUAUUAUUUAUUGUUAUGAUUUUACUACAAAAUUUACAAUUUCUUAAUAUUUUGCACAUUUUUCUUGUGUCAUAACUUUGAUAUUCCGACCCUUAAUAGAAAUUUCUAAUCGUGACACCAUAUGUUGAGACGUACACAGUUGUGAUAAUAAUUUUUACUCAAAAAAUAUUUUAUUUUAUUGAACUUAUUAACCAAUCUAUAUUUAUAAUAAAUUAAUCAUAUUUAUGUUAUAAGUCUAAUUCAUAAUUAAAAUAAGACUUAUAAAUAACAUUAAAAAAAUUAAAUAAAUAAUAAACUUGAAAUUUUCCAAAUUCCUAAAAUUCUUUUGAUUUUACUUCAGGUGGAAUUAAUAUUUUCAAUAUGUUAAACUUAUUAAAAAAAUUCUAAAAUUAAAGUUAUAGUUAAGGAGGGUUUAAGCCUUGUUUGGGAUGACAUUUAGCUAUUGCUAAACUAAUUAAUAUUGUAUUAUUUUUAUGUUUAAAAAAAUAGUUAAAUAAAAAUUAGUUAAGAGUUUUAUCCAAGUUAGGUCAGUCCUUUAAAUGCUGGCUUUAGCUUUUGAAAAGCUCUCCCAAAUAGGACUUAAUAAUAAGUGUCAUUUUGGCAGGUUGCAUGUUGAGUGGUAUGAAGCCGCAAAGUAGGAAGAUGAUGGCGUUCACAUUUGAAUCAUAAGAGUAAAGAACAGAGAAUAAGUAGGUAAAUUAAUUAUAUUGUUCAUUUGAUCUUUUUAUUUAUUUAUUUAUUUUUAUAGAUAUAGAGUUAUGACAAAAAAGGACAAAAAAAAAGUGAUUUAAAUGAUACAUACUUAAUUAUAGGUAAUUUAUCUAUUGUUGGACCUUUAACCUAUGUUUGAUUCUCAAAAAAUUUGAGAGAAAAUGUAUGUAUAUGAAAGAAAAUAGAGAAGAAAAAUAGUAAAAAAAAAAUGAAGGAAAAUAAAAUAUAGAUUUAAAGUUAAUAAAUUAAUUUUAUUUACUACUUUAAAUUUAUUUAACUUAGUUUAACUCCUCAUUUAAAAGAUUAAAUAAUUUGAAAAUAUUUAAGUUUUUAGCUUAUUUUAAUUAUAUUUUAUUUUCUUUUAUGUUUUUUUAUAGUACAAUCAAAUAUAAGAAAAUAAUUUUUCUUAUUAUUUUUUUUUUCUUAGUAUUUUUUAGGAAUCAAAUAUAAACCUUAAGGAAUAAAGGGUACUUGGUGUAACCUUAAAAAUUUUAGUACUAAUAAUUCUAAAAAAACUUUUGGAUAACCAAAUAAUCUUUCAUGGAGUUCCAAACCUCGGGUUACAACAAUCAAUAUUGAAUAAAUUUGUAGUAACAUCAAAAGAAGUUAAUAAGAAAUUAACAUUAAUGUUUAAUUUUGAUAAUACCAAGAAAAUAAAAAUAAUAAAUGAGAAAGUAAUUAUAUGGUUUGAUAAUGUGUCGAUAUUAUGGUAGAGAGGAAAUCAAUUCAUUAUAUUUAAAGAAGUAAUUACAUUAUUAAAACUCUCAAAUCUACGUGAAUAAAUCUAUUUUUAUAACAAAAUCUCAUAUAUUUCUUAAAAUUAUGCAUAUGCAUGUUGCUCGUGGAGGAAUCUAUCCAAAUAAAUUAAGGUUGGUGGAUACAAGACAAAUAUAAGUGACGUAAGACGGGACGUAAUCAAUCAUCCAAGUGAAACCACGUGUGUGAACUGUGAAGCACAAGAUUAUGGGUUACUCACCCCUUCAACUUCAUGUGGAGAAGAAUUAAUUUUGAAUUUUAUGCUCCAGCCCAUGGCCUGAAACCUAUUGGUCUCACUGUCAAUGCUGUCCUUUUUCGAAUUUGAUGACGCGAGGAGGGACGUAUGCGAUGUACGGGACAUGGUUAUAUUAUUAUACCUUAAUUAUGUUCAUUUGUACAUUUACAUAUACAAACUUUUUCUUUUUUCUUUUCUUCUCUUAAUUAUUUAUUUAUUUUUUAGUUUUUAUCUUUUACCUUUUUUCAGUUUUUUAUUUUUUUAUUUUUUUUAUACAAUUAGUAUACCCUACAGACUUCCAAAUCAAGAAAUUAAAAUUAAUUUUGAGAAUUAUUUUCAUGAAUAAAAUCAUAUUUAGAAACUUAAAUAUAACACUAUAUACUUAUUAUAUAUAAUACGAAGAUUCUCAACAUAAUCCUUGUAUUUUGAAUUAUUAAUUAAAACACUUUAUCAUAAAACACCUUAAUUUUACUGUAAAAAUAAUUAAUUUUUAGAGCAAAUUUAUAAAAAAAGAAAAAAGCUAGACAUGUUCUUAAAUUUUUAAGGAUAACUAAAGGCUGACCAAAUCCGGCAAAAGCACGUGAGAAAAAGCUUUCACAAGCAAAAUCAAUCUAAGGCGUUACCUUUAUUGCUAUUUUUCCUUUUUAUCCCAAUGUAGGCAGUGAAGUAGAAUUUUUCUGACUCUGGAUUCUUUGGGCAGUCCCAAGAUUUGGACUCAAAAGAGUCUUGGGUCAUGGGGAGAGGAGCCGAGCCUAAGGAUUCAUGUCAAGUUAAAUUAUUUGCAAAGCAGAAAGGUUAGACAUUGGAAGCAAAAGGGCGGUGAGCACAGCUAGAAAAAGUGCUUUAUCGACACAUGCUUUUGUUAAAGAGCAAUAUCAUAUCUUUCCACGAGUUUAGACACUUUCCUUCUCUUAAAUCAUAAUAUGUGGAUAUCACAAAUAUUACUUUACGUGUCACUGACUCAACCCCAGAAGUAUCCACCAAAGAUCUCUUUUUUAAUCAUAAGGCUUAAUUAAUAAUUUAGUAAAUUUAAUAAUCAUUUUUUUACAGAUAAUUCUUCAUGGGAAACUCAUGAAAUGACAUGUGAACUGUUUUGUGAAUUGGGUAUAGAUUGAUUAUCUAUAAUUAUAACCGAGGAAGCAUGGAAACCCAGAUUCAAACCGACAUGCCACGUCCCUCCAACUUCUUUAAUGGUACGUGUGGUCACUUUAUAUUGACUCUCAAGCACCAGGACAGACAGAGCCAAGUUGCAUUCACAUUACAAAUCAUUCAAUCAGAUCAGCAAAUGGGCAAUCAAUAUACCUCAAAGGUUCCUUUUUCUCCAUCUAUAAAUAGGGGUUACUCACACUUCACUCAUCCAUCCCUCCAGCAAACAAGCUUCUUUUGAGUCUCUCAUUGCUUCCCAGUUUUCAUUCCCCUAAAGUAAUGGCUUACUCCAAGACGUUUCUCCUUCUGGGUCUUCUAUUCGCUGUUGUCCUUAUCCUCUCCUCUGAGGUGUCGGCCAGAGAGCUAGCCGAGGCUGCACAUACCCGUGAGUUUCCCACUUUUUUUUACACACUUGUUAUAUCAAUUUACAGCUGAUGUACUGUGACUAAUUCAACUAAUCCAAUUUUUUUUUUUUGUUCUAAUGACAGAAGGGAGUGUGGAAGACGCUAAGUCCUGGGGACAUGGGCAUGGCCAUGGACAUGAACACGAGCAUGGCCACUGGGGACAUGAACAUGGGCACGGCCAUGGGCAUGGGCAUGGGCAUGGACACCACGGCCAUGGUGGUGCUGGUGAGACUGUGGAGAAUGAAACUGAAGCUGGCGAGAAUUAGAUAGCAUUUCUAGCUGCUGUAUUUUCACGCCCAUGGGUGGAAGUAGGUUGUGUGGUUUAUGUGAGUUUGUAUGUGAAUAAGGCAUGUGCUUGUCAGUGGUUGCCACCAAUGUUCCUCUAGGAAGAUGGUUGUGUUGCUUUGACAAGAUGUUAAAGCAUGUGUGAAACUUGCAGAUGUCAACUUAAUUAUUGUCCUGAAAUUAGAACUUUUUCCAAGUCCUUUGUCUCUAUAAGCAAAGUAAGCAAAAUAAGUAAGGUAAAAGCAGAAAGAUCAAACAGGAUUUCUCUGCAUAAUUAAGUAUCUCCAUUGAUCUUUUUUAAAUGAAGACUAAAUAUUUGUGGGUUCAGACCUCUUUACAGGUAUUUGUGGGUUCUUGAUUUCAUUGUUCCAUAUGCUCUUACUUCUCAUUGAAAAAAAGUUUUAAGUUAAAUUGAUAAUUAAAUAAUAAGUUUUAAGAUAAUAGAAUUUAAUUUAAAAUUAAUGAUCUUAAAUCAUUAAAUAUUAAGCAUGACCAUAUUAAUCCCACCAAACAAAGUAGUUGGCCAUAUAUGAUUUGCGUUUACCCAUAAUUGAAUAUUGAUUAAAUCAUGUUUAAUAUAGUGAAAUACGUAGAUAGAAAUGAACAAGUAUAGUGAUACAGCUUUGUUCUAAUAGACAUAACAAGGAAAUGAAUACAAAUAGUAUUUUCACCAUCAUAUUGUACAAAAUCAAAUACGUGGGAGAAUCCAUCCAAAGGAGCAACACAACAGAGUUAGCGAUAAGCUUGAAGAACACUUGUAAAGUUGGUGGACAUAAGGACAAAUAUAAGAUGACGUGAGAGGGGACAUCAUCAUUUUUGUAUCUGUCACGUGAGUAAAGUCGAGUCAUAAAGAAUGCUGCCCAAUAGAUGUAGGGCACCAGCCCAUAAACUGCAUGCAUAUGAAGUUGAAUGUUAAAGCUCAACCCCAGCACCUAUCAGCUAUGGGUCGGUCACUCAAUUUUUUGGGACUGGGUGAAGUGAGCAGGGACGUAUGCGAUGCAUAGGACAUGGUUGGAUAUUAAUUUGCAUGAAAUUUUUGAGCUCCAAGCCUGCAACUUGAUAUGGUAAUAUGUAAACACUGAAAAGGAAAUGUUAAACUAACAUAUGAUAAUUACCAAGCAAAAGAUUUGGACCGUUUAAGAGGAGACUAAAAAUAUGUAUGUGCAAUUCCCUGAUUGAUGAUAUCUUUAUAAUAGGUAUCGAAAAUGGUAACUACGUAGAUCCAAAGAAUUAGGAUUAGAGAUGGCAUUACGGCAACUUAGCUUUAUCCUUGCCCACUUCAUUUUGCAGUACUCUACAGAGAAGAACAAAUUAAGCUGGUCCUAUCCUACAUCGACAUGGUAUUCGGGCCACUACCCCAUGUAAUAGCAUAUUUUGUCCAGAUGGCAAAUUUUGAUGGCUUACAAGAAUUUGUGAAACUUCUUUUGUGGCUGCUAUUGCGGGAAAUUAAUCAAAUGGGAGCAUUGUGGGCUGUCUGAGUAUAGUUUUUCUACAUUUCCUUUUCUACACUUGUAUCCAAAAAUCACCUUCUCUGGUAUCCUUCUAUUUGAGGACUCCCGAGUACUUUUUCUUCUUUCCCAACACCUUAUCCCUUUCUCAACAUUAAAAGCCAUAGUCUGGAGUUCAUCAGGGUUGAAACCCUCCAAGUUUUGCAACCCCACAAAGAGGGGGAGCUUGCAAAUCACAAGACUAUUAUUUGUUAGAUUAAUUAAAGCUGAUGAAUUUUAACAUGUUUUGUGAUUUGGGUGUAGAUUAAUUAUAUGAAGGAGGCAUCAAAAGUAACAGGUUGAAACAAACCGACAAGCCACGUCUCUAGAAUUUCUUUAAUGGUAUGGUUAGACAAAAUCUUCACUCUGACACACCAAGAUGAGAACGUGUACCCAUUCACAAUAGGAAUCAUUCAAUCGCGUCAGAAAAUGGACAAUCAGUCUCUCUGAAGCUCUCCCUUUUUCCAUCUAUAAAUGCGGGUUACUCCCACUGCACUCACUCAUCCAUCCCUUGAGCAAACAAUCUUCUUGUGAGUUUUUUUCAGUCUUCGUUCCCCCAACAAAAUGGCAUACUCCAAGGUUUUUCUCCUUCUUGGCCUUCUGUGUUCUGUCGUUCUUGUCCUCUCCUCUGAGGUGUCAGCCAGAGAGCUAGCUGAGGCUGCUCAAACCCGUGAGUUCCCCACUCUUUUAGACACUUUGUAUGCAUCACUUGCUACUAUGCACAUUCUCUUGAGCUGCACAAUAGCACAUGCCAGUCAAUGGUGUUUUUGCUCUAACUGAUAGAUUAACAAAUAAGCAAAGUACCUUUCUAAUUAUAAUUAAACCAUGGAUAUAUCUUGGAGAAUUUCCUCACCACUCCUUAGCAGAAUCAAUACCGUGACUAACUAAUAACGCCCGGCCUUUUUUUACUCUUUCUAAUGGUAGAAGGGAGUGUGGAAGAAGCUAAACACUGGGGACAUGGACACGGGCAUGGACACUGGGGACAUGGACAUGGGCAUGGUCAUGGCCACAGGCAUGGACACCAUGGCAAACCCGGACAUGGUGGUGCUGCUGAGACAGAGGAAAAUGAAAGUGAAGCAGGCGAGAAUUAGGCAGAAGCACUUCUAGCUGCUGUAUGUGCACGCAUACACCGUGCAAAUAAGGUUGUGUAAUUUACGUAAGUUAGUGUGUCAAUAAGGCAUGUGUGAUCAGUGGUUGCCACUAGAGUCCCUAAGUAAGAUGGAUGCAUGGGUUUGCCAAAAAUAUUAAAGAAUCAUUAUGUUAGUUUAUUAGC